AGGACAAACAUAUUAUUAACAAAACAAAUCUCAAGGCUAUUUUGUUGGAUAUUAUUAUCGGAUCACUUGACACAACUAUCAUGACGACUGAUUGGGCUAUGUCAGAACUACUGAGGCACCCGAAGGCUAUGACGAAACUUCAAGAUGAGUUAAAGAAUGUAGUGGGUAUGGGGAGGGUGGUAGAAGAAGAUGACAUACCAAAGUUGCCAUACCUCAAUAUGGUGGUGAAAGAGACCUUUAGGAUACACCCACCUGCACCCCUCCUCGUACCUCGCGAGUGUUUGGAAGAUAUAACAAUCAAUGGUUAUUUCAUUGCGAAAAAGUCACGGGUUUUAGUCAAUUCUUGGACAAUAGGACGAGAUCCUAAAAUUUGGUCAGAUAAUGCUGAGGAUUUUUAUCCAGACAGAUUUCAAAACACCGACACAGAUUCUCAUGGACUCCAUUUUCAAUUUCUACCAUUUGGUUCCGGUCGUAGACGCUGUCCCGGGAUGCAAUUGGGUUUAACUACCGUUCCGUUGGUUCUAGCUCAGUUAGUGCAUUGCUUCAAUUGGGAGCUUCCAUUGGGCAUGUCUGCCAAUGACUUAGACAUGACGGAGGAAUUUGGCCUUACAACGCCAAGAGUUCAAAAUUUGCUAGCGAUUCCAACUUAUCGCUUAGUAAAUGAAGGUAAUUGAAUGCAUCAAACCUCGUGACAAAGCAAGAAACUAUUUUAAUGUGUUUUUCAAUUUAUGUCUUUCUUUGUUUGUCUCUUAAUAAGAUCUUCAUGUGCGCACAGAGCUUCUUUGCAGCCCUUGGAUCGAUCAUACCUAAGAGAUUAUGCUGAUUUUUUUUAUUUUGGCACUGUAAUAAUUUGAUAAUCCUAUUACUCAUGAUGGGUUUCAAUACGUUAAGUCGGCGCAUAUCAUCAUGUAUUUGAACAUUGCAUGUUAUUUUCCUUUAGACAAAUCUCUCUAGCCCAACAACCAACAUAAAAAUUGGUUUCAAAACAAACAACCCAACACAAUUGGUAGCUAGAUAGCUGAGUUCGUUAAGCAUUUAUUUGAGAGUUUGAUUCUUGAGCAGUGUAUAUAGAGAAAGAUUUGUUGAAAAAGACUUACCCGCUCAAUCUAGAGCUGGGUACAAGGGUGGCCCACUCCGCACAAGCCUGCUUCGUGUUGCUUCGCCCCGCGUAGGCCCGCAUUUUAGCAGUCCUCUAUUUUCCGGGCUAUAACCCGCAGUAGUCCGCGGUUUUGCGGGCCGAUCCAUGGACUUUGGCAUCUCUUACCCCUUUUUUGCCUUUGUAGGCCUGCCCCGCAUUGACCCCCCCCCCCCCCCGCACUGGCCCGCUUCGCGUAGGCCCAUAUUUUAGCGGUCCUCUAUUUUCCGGGCUACAGCCCGCACUAGUCCACGGUCUCGCCGGCCGGCCCGCGUACUUCGACCCGCUUACCCAGCUCUAGCUUAAUCUAAUCUCAGAUCAUUGAAUAGAUUAGUCUUGGUGCUGCCAACUAUCAAAUACUUAAUAAAAAAUGGCUUAAAAGCACUUUUGGUCCCACAAAUUUCUAUUGUGUAAAUAGAGUCUUUAAUCUUUAAAAAUAUCACUCUUAAUCCCCAAUGUUACCCUCCAUCAACCUUCUUUGCAAUGGCUGAAGCUUGAAUUUUAUUUUUUUGAGGACCAUAGUAAAAUUUUAAUACGCAUAUAUACUUUCUUGGUUAUUUGGUGAGUUUCAGAUCAAAUUUCAGUAAAUAAACCAAAAUAUCUUUAUUAGAAAAACACAUAUGUAUACAACAAAAAUGAAAAAGAUUAACCUAACUUAUGUACAGGAACAAUAGAAAAUUACUAUAAGUUGUACUAAUAAUCUUUGAAAUUUUCUAUUUAGUUUUUUUUUCUUCAAGUUUUGGAUUAUUGGUAUAUAUAUUUUUUCCUUUAGAUAGCAUUUUUAUAUUUAUAAUCAAAAUUCUUUCUCUUAAUAAAAGAAUUUAUUCUUUAAUUUUUGGUUAUUAAUUUUUUGGGACAAGCUUCCAUAUGCCAUUUUUCUGAAGAGGCAGGGGUGCCCCCCUUUCCUAGCCAUUGAUUUAUAAUAUUUUAAUUGAACGAUCCGGAUCAGUUGAGGAAGAUAAUUAUGGCUUGGUCCUAUGCACUAGUCAAAAUAUAUCUCUGGUCCUAUUACAUUUUAUAUUCACGUAAAUGACUGUAAAGUUUAUGCAAUCCAUUAUAGACCCUAUGAGUUUUCAUAUCUAAAAAUUAGUCCUAACUAUAUAUACACAAAACCAUGAAUUAAAUUCAUUUUAUGCAUCCAAAAUCUGAAGGAUCCAUUGCUCUUCUCUCUUCUCCAAACUUACUUUCUCCUUCUCCUACAAGUGACAAUGGAUUAAAACAAAUGAGGAUGGAGAGUGGUGGAUCCAAAAGUGGGGAUUGUGCAUUGAUGAGUUGUGGAUCUAAAACUGGGGUUGUCCAUGUCAAAAAAUAUGUUUAUGGUUUUGUGAUAACAAUCUCAUAGAUAAGUAUAGUGAAAGAAUAGAAAAAUAAUUGCAUAAAACUAUUCUCACUUUCUGGGUUCCAUAAGUGGUAACUAGUUAGGAAAAAUAAUUUUAUGUUGUUGUUUGUUCAAUGUUUGGUGAGAAUUUGUGCAAAAUCUGUGUCUCCUUGAUGUUCCUCGUCAAGUCACAGUCCCAACAAGUCAUACUAGAGCUUUGAUGGUGACUCGAGGUGGUCGGAAUCAUCAUUUUCGAAAAUGACCCAUUUUUAAAAGUUCCUGAAAUGAAAAUCUGAGGUCAUAGAUGGAUUCAGAAGGUUGAGACGAGUCCGGAACAAGUUCCGGAAUCUCAAACGGAGCCUGGACGAAGCUACACUCUCCCGCACUUGCCGGCGAGGUGGCCGGAGAGUGAGCCCACUCUCGGCCACGCGCUCCACUCGCGCUAGAGGAAGAAGGAGAGUGGCGGCCACUCUCGGCUAUGAGACACACGCGCCUGAUGACGUCAGAGACGCUGAUACGGCUUGUUCUCAUGCUGACAUGUGACAGAAUGUGUUUUUUGGAAAUUUUGGGUCAUUUUUAUCCGUUUUGGGUUCAAGAGGAGUCGAUUCUAAGGUUUUCGACCGUUCCGGACGCAAUGGUGUGGUUCUUUUCUUGAAAAUCUUUCCAGAUUUGCAAAUAGGACCAGAUAUUGGCCUUUGAAUAAACUUAAGUAAUGUGUUUUUUUAAUAAAUUUGGUCAUUUUUAUCCGUUUUGGGUACAAGGGGAGCCGAUUCUAAGGUUUUCGACCAUUCCAGAAGCAACGGUGGUAUUCGUUUCAUGAAAAUCUUUCCAAAUUUGCGGAUAUGAUUAGAUCAAUUCUAAUAUUUAAAUGAAUACUAGUGAAUUGAUGGAUAAUGACACUUUUAACCUAAUUUAGUUAUUCUAAAGUCUACGUUAAACUAGGAUUAUCCAUUUUAAUGACCUCUUAACUUAACGUUAGUUAUUCCAUUGACCCUUUUAAACGAAUGUUAGUUAUACUAUUAUCUCGAUUAGACUAGGGUUAGUUAUUCUAAUGACCCUCCUAACUGAAGCUUAGUUAUACUAUAGUCUUAGUUAGACUAGAGUCUGUUAUUCUAUAGUCUCAGUUAAACUAGAGCUUGAAAUUCUAUAGUCUCAGUUAAACUAUAGCUUAAAUCAGGUUUAUCUAUUAUAGUGGUUUUCUUAACUUAAGAUUAGUCAACUUGUGUUAGCGCAAAAAAAAAAAAUCAAAGUAUGAAAAAAAGGGCCAUCAGCCAAACAAAAUUCCAACAGAAUUGGCUAAUGCAAAAAAGCCCAGAUAUGCGUUUUUUGCACCAAAAAAGGAGGGGUCAGCAGCAAAAAAAACUAGCCCAAGAAAAAAAACAAUCAAAUCCUUAUAGAAAAGUGAAGGGCCAUCAGCCAAACAAAAAAAACCAACAAAAUGGGCUAAUGCAAAAAGGCCUAGAUAUGUGUUUUUUACACAAAAAAGGAGGGGCCAGCAGAUGAAAAAAAAAAACCUAGCCCAUUUUUGUUUUUUUUCCGAGUUCUUUUUUCUUCUGAUUUCAUUUAUUCUGAUUUCAUUUAUGAGCUUUUUCUAAGGAUUUUUCAAUAUCAAAAACAUACUUUUGAGACUUUAAUUCACAGUUUUUGAAAUUAAUAAAAUCUCAUUUUGAUUGAUUAAUCUGAGUUAAAAUAAAUGAUUAACUAACUGUUGGUUGUUAUUAUAAAUACUCUUAAUUAUGUUGAUAAUCAUAAUAAGGAGGAGGGAUGAAAAAAUGAACUAAAGAAGAUGGAGAGGAAUCUUAUCCUUCUCGACCACUUUAAGCAUUAACUUCAUGAUGAUUAAACUCUUUGAUUUGGACCCUCGAGAGUUACGACACACCUCAGAGAACCCAAUGAUGAAGAGGAAACUAUAGAACAUUUACACUUGGACCUUGAACUAGGGUUAGUUAUUUCAUAGUCCUGAUUAAACUAUGAUUAUAUGUUCUACUAACUUUAAUAACCUAAGGUUAGUUAUUCAAUAGUCCCUAGCUAGGGUUAGUUAUUCUAGUUACACUCUUAACUUAAGGUUAGUUGUUUUAAUAGUUCCGAUUAAACUAGAGUAUCUAUUCUAAUGACCAUCUUGUUAGGACAGGCCACAAUUAUAGCAUCUAUAAAGAAUAUUCGAUCAAGAUGAACCAUAUGGAUGAUCAAGAUGAAACAUGUGGAUGAUCAGGAUGAACAUGAUGGAUGAUUGUGAUCUUGAUGAUGGAUGUCAUGAUGGGUGGUCAAUAUGAUCAUGAUAGAUGAUUAAGAUGAACCCGAUGGAUAGCCAGGAUGAAACUCAUGGAGGAUCAAAAUUGUCACGAUGGAUGGUCAAAAUGAAAUUGAUGUUAGAUUAUAUUUAUAUAAAAAGGUCAAGAGUGACUUGUCAGAAAGUCGACCAUGUUGAACAACACAUCGUUAGCUAAUCUCGAUCUUAAGUUCCUAAUAUUAGCUAGUUCAAGCAAGAUUAUUGACAUGUCAAAACAACAUAACCAGGCAUAUAAAGCUUUUAAGUUUUUAAGAUUAGAUAUUUCGGUUAAGAUCAACUUGUCGAAACAACCUGAUAAAGCUUUCAAGGUUGAUAAGUUACAAAGAUUAGCCAACUUGACGUGUUCAUACAAUCAAAAGAUUAAUUGGAUGUAUGUGUAAAGUGUAAACAAAGUUUACACUGUCGGUGCAUACACAUUUAAUCAUUCAAGUAAAUAACUGAUUUUAUUCUACUAAUAAUUAAAUAGAGAUUAAUUUUCAUGCACUGACAGUGUAAAUGAGUUUACACAGGUUCAAUCAUAUCUCAAUUUUUUGGCUCAUAUUUAAUUUUAAAUUUAAUAAUAUUUAAAAUAAGAAAUAGAAUGUUGUGAUUGAAUGAUUGGGUAAAACCUUUUAUACUGUGAGUACAUAAAAAUUAACAUGAACGAAAUAACCUGAUUUUAAUUUUUGGCGCUCAAAAUUUAAAUUUUCCCGCUCAUAUUUUGAUUUUUUUGAAAUUAAAACACUGAUUUUAGUCAAUUGAUUUUACGUGUGAGCUCCUCCUUUUUUGGCUUAUUUUAAUCUUUAUGCUCCUUUCAGAGUUCCCGCUCUUCCUUCUUUUAGUUUCCCUCUCUUUUUCAUCUGUCAAAGUAUUCAGGACUCAAUUGGAGAAGAAAAAUUAAAAAAUUCUAGAAAUCUUAUCUCUAUCCUACUUGAGAUUUCCUAUCUCACUAAUCUGUCCUUUUCAUCUUACUCUCUCACAUUUUCACUAUCUCUUUAUCUCCACCUCUUCUGCAUCUCCUUAUCACUUUACAGUCGGAUCCAGUUCCUCUCCUGCCAAUCUCUCUCCGGCGUCUCACCGCACACGGCCGUUGAAGCUCAUGACCGCCGUCUCCGCCAAGGACCCAAACAUCGUCGCGUCUCAUCGUUCUAUCACCGCUCUCGGCGCUGGCCUGAUCACGACCGCCUUAUCCCACCCAUUGUGCCUCUCGCUGACGAAGCAAACCCAACCGCGUCUCGCCGUCUCCGAUUCUCUCAUUCAAUUUGUCGCCGUCAAGCUCAAGCCCCAUAUCCUUCAGAACGACUACCCCUGGUUUCCAAUUUCAAAUUUAGGAACACGAAACCUGUAACAUUGUACAAGAGGAAUGCAUAUUGUCUUGGCAUUUUAGAUUUUUUGUGGUUGUACCAGAGGACAUGACUAGGUGAAGAGUAGUACCUCGGACGGUGAGUUCAAUUUCCUACCUUCCGCUCUUAUGUUCAAUUUUUAAUUUUACUUCCUCUGUUAUUCAUCUCUUUCUCAUUUGGCUUACCAUUUGUCAGGAAAACAAAAUUCUGUGCAUAUGCUAAACUAGCCAUUAAAAAAAUUGACUUUGAUAUGAGGGUGUUUUUUUGGAUGAUUGGUCUAUCUUGGCUUAGAAACUGAUUUUUGGUGAUUUGUUUUCUGCAGCAAAAAGGGUUUUCUGUGAUACUUUCAGACAUGCGUCCAUCGGUUUCUGGAAUCACAAUCGGUUGUUGGCAGUGCUGCUUCUUCUGUUCAAGCUUCAGCUGAUGAUGAUGAUGAUUAUAUUCGGGAGGAGCAAAGUGUUGAUGAUCCAUCCGGUUCAAAUGAUAAGGGAGUCUUGCAAGUUGGAGGGAACCUUAUUAUAAAGAUUUUGGAGAGUGAAGAUUCCAAAGGUGGUUCAUUUUUCUCAAGACUAGUUUUAUUCCAGCUGAUUUGGUUGCGUAAUGUGUUUAUUUAAUCUCUUUUGAAAUCUUCUGCUGCAGAAAUCAGUCAGAUUUGUAAACCAUUAUUUAGAAAGUCAUCGUAGCUGAGGCCUAAAGCCACAAGACCUUCCUCAAGAGAGAUCUAUUUGAUAUGUCAUGGUUUAAAGCCAGACGCAAAGACAUAGGUUGUUUUAUACGAUAUUCUUUGUCUGGGUGAACAUUAGGGAUGAACAACAUACAAAACUCACCUUCUCCUUUAUUUUUUUAUGUUCAUUUUCAUUACUAUAUUUGUGCUUGAUUUUGUUAAAAGGGUGUUCUACUUUUGGGCUCUACUAUGGUCAUGGGAUAUUUUCUAUUCUUAAUUUAAUUAUAAUAAACUACUUUUAAGAUCAGUCGGGGACCAUAUAAGAGACUAUCAAAUUUUUUACCUUGUGCUCAAACUGGAUUUUCUAAUAUUUUUGUUAUGAUCUUAUGUUCCUGAUUUAAUUUAUACCAUUUUAAACUUAAAUUAACAGGAUCUGUUGCAACAAUGGGUAAGAACCAUUUGUGAGUUUAGUGACAUAAUUUGAUUGUCACCUUGGUUUCAAUUGUGCAUGACACUCAUUUGUUUCUUGCCUUGUUUACUUUGUGUUUUCCUGAAUGAUUUUCUUGUUUGCUGUCUGACAAGUUUUUAGUUUCAGGCACACUAGUUGUUCAAUGAAAUAGGAUAAAUGUGCGAAAGCAAGAAUCAUGAAGGUGAAAGAGCAACCCGUUUUAGGCUGAGUAGCACCUUAUUGAAUCGCACCUCCAAUAUUUUGUUCAUUGUGAGAGGUCCAUUUGAAAAAUCUGGGAAUUUUUACAUUAUUCCUUCGAUUUGGGUGCCUCUCUCUAUCUCUCUCUGUCGAGUUCACCAAUUUCUUUGUCUAUCAUCACUAAUUCCUUUGUUUAUGUUCUGCAUAGUGAGAUUAAUUGAUUGCUUUAAAGAAGUCAAUUUAUGAGACUGGGCAUUCAAGGGAGUUCCAGUGAUUUGGUUACCGAGGUAUAUGGACUAUGUAGUGGAUUAUCUUUCACAAAUCGUACCGACUGUCUAGCGCAAGUUGAUCCAGGUUUCUCCUUCCUCGACCUUUCACAUUUUUUUAUGUGAAUUUAAUUUACAUUAUGAAUUCUUUAUUGAUUUGGGUUUGUGGAAAGUUCAGGACUUUCAUGUUUUAACCAUGUGAUGUGUCCAAUUGCAAUGAGUAAUGUUCAAAAUCACUCUUUGUCAUCAAAUGUUGGCACAUCAAAUUUGCGAUUGAAAUUUAAGAAACGUGAACUUUACUACGUAAUGCAUCCAAAUGGUAAAGCUCUUAAUUCAUUGUUGAUUUUUCUUUGGCCAUUCUCAUGAUUUGGUACUGUUAAAUUGUGCUAUUAACUUUUGAUUUUCUAUAGUGAUUGUGCAUGUUUUGUCUUUAUCUACUUUCUUCUUUCAUCUGUUUGUUGGCUACUUAGAUAUAUGACAUACUCCUAUUUUCUCAGAAUCAAUUAAUUUCCACACAUGCGCAUAGUGUGCUACUUGUUUCUAAUUUUGUUUCAUUGACUCCAUGUUCUGUGGUGCUAAAAUUAACUUGUGGCAGUUUGUAGGAGGAAAAAGGGUGGAUGGUUUCGUGUCUGAGAUCAUUUGGUCAUGCUAAUAUUGACUGUUUAAUAGGGAGGAUAAAGGAUAAAUUGUAAUGCUGUUUGGAAUGAAGGAGGAUAAAUUGUAAUGAAGGAGAUUGACAUCUGGUAUUGAUUGUAUUUGUUUAUAUAUGGUAAAGUGGCCAGAAAUUUCCUUUAGAUCAGAAAAGUAGAAAUGAAAGGUAGAGUGGAUCGUCUACAUUCACUGAGUGCAUGUUUGUAAAUUUAAUAGAUUUUCUCAUUUGGGGGUUAAAUGAUUCUGGAAGAAGCUAUCAGAAGUAAUUCUUACAUAGGGAAAAAUGAUCAUGAGAGAGUUAAAGUAGAUCCAAAAAUGGUGAAAAUUAGCUAUAUGUAUUACAGAGGAAAACAUUUUGAGGAUUGAUCGAUAAAAUUAAAUUAUCGCAUGAUAAUCCCAAUACAAGCAACCAGGAAACUCUAUAAAUGUCUAUACCAGCUUUUCCAUUUCUAAGUAUCUAGGAGAAUUAAAUUUAGUAGGUAUACGCAUAAUGUACAAUAUUGUUUUAAUUGCAUUAACAGUACAAAAAAGAAGAAAUUGUUUGUUAUGGAAUACUGGCUUAACUUUUCCUUCAAUGAAUUUCAUAAUAAAGUACAAAAAAAUGUGGAUUCCAUACAUUAAUUCAUUUGUGGGGCACUAUGAUCUAUUUGACUAUAGUAUAAGGAUCCAUCUCACACAUAACAUUACAUGUGCACAUUUCAUAUUAGAUGAUUUAGUUUCUAGCUUACUUUUUAAUAUUAUCAGUGUUACUUUUUAAUGGCUUACUUCAUUUUUGAGUCACUUGGUAUUCCAGUUCUACUGAGCUAGGUGUAUAUAACUUUGCUGUUUUUCACUGUUUCUUGGUGCAGAAAUUAGACCUAACACAACUAAGCCUUUGGAUUCUGAGUGUUUUUCCUCAAAAACUUGUGCUUCCUAGGCAAUUCUAUUUGCUUCAUUUUUUUUAUUCUCAACUAAUUGGAUCAAUUGCAUGAUUUAGUGAAGUUCCAACCCUGAUUAUUUGUUCCAGCCUUGGAACCACCUUGAAAAAUGAAUUUUGUCACUGACAUUCCUCCAGUCAGUGUUGAGAAAAAUAUUUUUUUUCUUCUCUUUUGAUGCCAAUCCUAUAAGAUAGCAAGAACAUGAACAUUUUUGGCAGAGAAUCAAAUAGCUUAUGGAGGAAUGUUGUGGUUGAAAGAUAUUCGCAAGACCCUUUGUCACUGCUCUGGCACUUAGAAUUAUCAAACCCUUCGGUUGGAUCCAUUGUAAUCCGGGACACUUAGAAUUAUCAAACCCUUCGGUUGGAUCCAUUGUAAUCCGGGACAUAUGGAAGGUGCUUAUAAAUGAUGAUUUGAUUUCUGCCGGUUUCAUGGAAAACCUUCUGGUUGUUGUGGGAGAUGGCAAGAAAACGAAGUUCUGGAAGGACCCAUGGGUAACUGAUUCUGCCCUUUGCAAUGUAUUCCCUAGACUGUAUGCUUUGAGUGAAAACAAAGAAGCCAGAAUUGCAGAUGUGGGCUCUUUCUCCAGAGGGUCAUGGGAUUGGUCAUUAAUAUUUCGCAGAUCGUUUUUUACAUGGGAGGAGGAACUUUACUCUUAGCUCCUGGUCUCGAUCAACUCCAUUAUUCCAGCUUCCUUGGGGGGGAGAUUACCUGAUAUGGUGUCUUAAUCAAAAGGGCUUCUUCUCGGUUAAGGAGCUUUGCAAUUAGGCUGAAGAUCAAACCUUCAUUAACCGUACUUGGCAAGUUCCUAAAAAUGUAGCAAAACUUAUUCCUCCCAAAGUUGCUCUCUUUUUCUGGCAGGCACAGAAGAACAAAAUUGCAACUAGAGCCAAUUUAAUUUCUAGAGGUAUUGAUCUAGCUGACUCAUCUUCUUGCCCUCUUUGCAUGACCAUUACAGAAACUUGCUCUCAUCUAUUUCUACACUGUAAUUACACUUGGUCUCUGUGGUGCUCGAUUGUAAAUCGUGAAGGUUUUUAUUGGGUUGUUCCUUCGUCUCUAGAAGGACUCAUCUCUGAAUGGGACCAUUUACCCAAACUUUCUGACAAGCUGCUUUGGAGUUUAAUACCAUAUGCGCUAUCAUGGUCAAUUUGGAUUGAAAGGAAUAAUGUGUGCUUUAAUCAGAAGACUUUCAAUUGUACAGAAGUAUGGGAUCUUCAUCUCUCACGAAUUGGGUGGUGGACGCAUGAUUUGCUCCUUCAAAAUGCUUACAGUAUUGAACAAUUGGCCAGGAAUUUUGAGCUAAUCAGAUUUGGGUCCAAAUUGCCUACUGCAAGACAUGCUGGCUGGACUCCUCCUGAAGUGGGUUUAAUUAAAAUUAACGUAGAUGGUGUUGCCAGAGGAUCACCGGGAAGAUGUGGUAUCGGUGGUAUAUUUCGAAAUAGUGAUAAUGAGAUUCUGGGUUUUUUCUCUAAACAUGUUGGGGAAGGCUUUGCUUUUGAAGCUGAGGUGUGGGCGAUCUUUGAGGCACUUACAAUCUGUGUUAACCGACAAUUGAGAAAUCUAACAAUUGAAAGUGAUUCUUCUCUAGCUGUCGGUUGGGUCAAUAAUCGAAGCAACAGACCAUGGAAAUUGUUGAACAAGCUUAACCAGAUUGACCUGUGGGUUGCGGAGGUAAAUUGUUUAUCGGUGAAACACAUUUUUAGAGAGGCAAACGGCGAAGUUGAUAAAUUGGCUAAGCGAGGAGCUGAUCAUCCGAGGGACUUAUAUUACUUCAAGACUUCCAGCCAUCAUCAAUAGUACUGGAUUUUUUUCUCCGAGGGUCGAGUAGUAGUGUAAACCGUGUGGGAAUUGUAUUCUAUAUUGGCUAGCUUUCCUUAUCUUUCUAGUAGGUUGUUUUAAGCUUGCGGUUUCAUGUACUUCACUUUGCCUAAGUUAUAUCUCCUCUGCUUGUUAUCUCUGUUUUGUGGUUGGUUGCCUUGGUUAGAGUACUCUUUUUCCUCUCCUUGGGUUUUUCCCACUGGGUUUUCCCUUGGAGAGGUUUUGAUGAGGCUUUCUCCUUGGCCGGGUUUCCUAACCACAUCUCUUUAGCAGUUUUGUGAGACUUUUUGUCCACAUGAGAGGAUUGUUCUCAUGGCUUUAUUCUUCAUUUUCUAUAUAUAUAUAUAUAUAUAUAUAUAUAUAUAUAUAUAUAUAUAUAUAUAUAUAUAUAUAUAUAUCAGUUGUUUCUCAAAAAAAAAAAAAACAAUAAAAUUAUUUUGUCCAAUUCCUUGUGACAGGAUUUAUUCUUAACUAGGUAAUAUGGGAUAAUUAUAUCUUCACACCUCAAAAAUGAGGUGUGGAGAAGUGGAGGAAGAGAGAGAUAGGAAGAAAGGAGAGAGAAAGUAAAGAUGUGAUAAAUGAUUUGAUUGAUAGAAAAAAGAGAAAUAAAUAGAAAUAAAGGUGGAAAAUAAGUGGAAAUGUGUGUAUAUAUCAUAAUUCGGUAAUAUGUGAUAUGUAGGGGGCGAUAAGUAACAAGAUCAAAUUUAUAAUAAAUUCUUAAACUAGUUUUCUUUGCACAAGACAUUGUUAGGAAUUGGAUGAUACUUGACCGAACUGCAAAUAGCAUAUUCAGGCUCUCAAUAUAGUAUAGCUUAAAAUCUAGUGUUUCACAAAGUCACCAACAAAUUUUGAAAAAAAAAGAAGAGGUGAUGAUUCAAGUGCUACACAAAGUCAAGAAACUACUAUGUUAACUCAAGAUGCGCUUACAGAAGUAAUGACACUUUAAGCCAAUUUGGCAUCAAUAAUUCCACUAGUUUAUUUGUUGUACAAAUUUUAUGAUCAUAGGGUUCUUUAAUCACAUACAGCUAGUGAAAAACCAAAUCUCAGCAAUCAGAGAUGGCGUAUGAAUAUAGAAGAGUUGAGAUAAGGUCCAACGAAAUAUGUGAGAGGAUGUGUUUAAGUGCAUUGUUAAGUGUGUGGAUAUGAAGUGAUGGAGCACAAUGACAUAAAGUUAAAGUGCAUCAGGAAGCGUGUCGACAUAAAGCUGACAUAAAGAUGAUGACAUCGUGUAACGUGUUGACAUAAAUGGUAAAUGGUGUAACCUAAUUAAUUGAGUUAGGAUUUAUUUACACCUUAAUUUCACUUUUACUUCACUUUUUUAUUUAUUUGUCUCUUAUCUUUCAAUCAUAUUAUCACAUAUCACAUCUCUUUUUUUUUUCUCUCUCUCUCUUUCUUCCUAUAACUCUAUUCUUUCCACCUCUUUCACACUUUUGAUGUUUCUGCAAGGUGGCUUAGACCACAGGCAUAUCAAUGUGACGUAUUGGUAGCCAAGGAAAUCCUAUAAUGCACCCUAAACACACACGUGGUUUCACUUGCACCAUUCAUGAAUGUACUUCAAUGCAAGAAAUUCUAUUUUAUUUAGUCUGUCCAGUUUUUAGACUUGGAGUGUCUAUUGCACAAGGACUGUCAGAUUGAUUUGAGGUGCAUUUCAUUAAAGCGCCACUUUACUUUGUAACUUAUGUCCCUUUAUGCAAUUUGGUAAAAGAAAUAUUUAUUUACUAUUAUGAGUAUUCUCCUCUUUCUCUUUUAUAGCAACGAAUAAUAGCAUUAGGUACAGAUUGUAAUGUACAAUCUUAAUGCGCAUAUGGAGCUCACUUUUACAAAAUUUGGUGCAAUAUUGGGCAUAUUCACAAAACUAUGGUAUACAGGAAAAUUGAAAAAAGAGAUGGCUUCUGAUUUACGUUGUUAGCAUAAUAAUUAAAUCUAGUCUAAGAUCAGGAAGCAUAUGAAUUUCGAGGUAGCCUUGCAAUUAAGAAUGGUGGUCUCUUAAAUUUGCACCCAGGAAUAAUUACAUAGACAGUUCUUGUUGGUCUUUAAUGGUCCUAUUGGCCUAGCUUACUACCUCUGAUAAAGUAGUUUCAACAGAUCUGUAAUACAAACUUCAGCCCCUUUGACUUUAAAUUUAAAUUUACAUCUUCCUAAACCUUUGUUUUUCCCCGUUUCAAAUUUAUCCCUUUUUUUUGGGAAAAAAAAACCUGGCUUUGUUGUUAAAAAUAAAAGGGUUAAUGGUCAAAUUGGUCCCUGUGUUUGUAGUGAAUUUUGAUUUUAGUCCCUCCCCGGAAAAAACUAGCCGAUAUCUCCCUGUAGUUGCAAGCAUUUUGGUUCUAGUCCUCACAGGAGGUCGGAGCUCCGGUGAGAGUACUGAGUGGCAGGCCAGAGAUGACAUGGCAUUAUCCACGUCAUUUUCAAUUUAUUUAUAUUUCCACGUAAAUAAUUAAUAACUAAAUUAAAUAAAAUUAUUAAUUCAUUCAAAAAUAAAAUCUAGAAAAUAUUGGGAAAAAUUAAAAUCAAAAUUUUAUAAACCCUAAUCCCCCUGCAUCUUCUCAAUCAAGCCUCUCUUUCUCUUCCCCACCCGGUUCCCAAUCUGAGCAGCAAAAAUCACCACCAUUCCAUUCCAGGAAUCAAAACCAACUCAAACCUCAAAACGGUGGUUUGACCUUCUCGCCUCACAACUCUCUUUCUCACCUUUGACCUUCCAUAAUCUUUUACGCGCUGGUGGUUUCAAUGGAGGUGCCACCUAGAACGGUGGUCGUGGCUUGGUGCGGUGGGUCGUUCAUCGUUGGAAUGAGAGCUUAGGUCGACGGAAAUAAAGGUUGUGGCAGACUAGCGGUGAAGGAGCAGAACCAGAUCGAGACCCCACUCACCCAGAUCGCGAAUCCGGUUUCUUGCGAACUCAAAAAGCGAAUCGCCCCUGGAUCCGCCUUCACCACCCCAUGUCGCCGCCGUUGUCGUCCUAAACAACCGAAGAGCCUUGAUGGGGAUACGUUCCAGUUGCUCAGUCAUGUCGGUUUUCUGGGUUUUGAUAUGUGUGGGUUAUGAAUCUGGAUUUUGUGGAUUACAUGGAUCUGGGUUAUGUGGGUUUUGAAUUUGGGUUUUGAAAACGAUUCAAUUGAUCUGGGUUAUGUGGAUUCUACGGAUUUGGCCAUUGAGUUUCUAACUAGAAUUUGUGUUGUUUUCUGGGUUUUCAAUGUUUGGCCAUUUUGGACUUUUUUCGUUUUCUGGGUUUGAUGAUGAGUUUGAAGAUGGAGAUGAUUAAAGAAGGAUGAAGGGGAAGAAGAUGAAGAUGAUUAAGACAUUUGAGCUUUUGUAUUUUUCACUUUAGUCAGGUCUGAAGUGUGGGCGUGGAUGGUAUUAUGUCAUGAAAUAUAUGAUGAGGAAAUAACUGAUAUGUUGGGUGCUGCAGAAAUUUUGUUAGGCGCACAUAAGGUGGUCAUGGUUGCUGAAAUCGUGGAUAUGGUUCUAAAUCUACCUUGUUAGGCGUGGAUAUGGUUCUUAGUACUUUGAACAAUUUUUGAAUUAAUUAAUAAUUUUAUUUCAUUUAGUUAUUAAUUAUUUACGUGGAAAUAUAAAUAAAUUAAAAAUGACGUGGAUAAUGCCAUGUCAUCUCUGGCCUGCCACUCAGCACUCUCACUGGAGCUCCGACCUCCGGUGAGGACUAGAACCAAAAUGCUUGCAACUACAGGGAGAUAUCGGCUAGUUUUUUUCGGGGAGGGACUAAAAUCAAAAUUCACUACAAACACAGGGACCAAUUUGACCAUUAUCCCAAAAUAAAAUUAUACAAAAAGAAAGUAGUACUUAGGGAACUAAUUCUUUGGAAAUUAAAUGGACGCAAGACUUGUUUAACUAAGGUGAGAAAAGAAAGUUGAACAGCCACAAUAACCGUUAAAAACUGGCCACUAUAAUGCUAGUCAUUCCACUAAAAAAAAAGACAAUCUAGAGAGCUGAAUCUAAAAGUUAAAGUUACAUUAAAAAUGUAGGAGCUUAAUACAGUGACACACAAUAAUUACCAUUCUGACAAAGUAAUGCUACUAAAUUAAGGGUAAAUAGCUCCCAACUUGCACAAAUUUUCUUCAAUUUGAGGCGAAGAAGAGGAAGAACUAUAGAACUCUCCUACUAAAAAUAAUAGACAAAUUAUAUGAGUCACUUACAAAGAACACAUUUGAAAAGUAAAAGCAACGUAAACAAAAUUUAGAUAAGAGGCUAACUUUGCCGGUUAAUAGUGGAGGCAUAAAAUCAAAGUGUAUGGAGCAUAAAAUUUCAACAGCAAUAAAAAGAUAAACAUAACAUUAUGAUGAAAUGUAACUCAUGGAAACUCAAAAACUUACUCAAUGACUCUUACUCCAUGCCACCAAGAACCAUUUUUUUCAACGAAUAAAAAUAUUCACAUCCCAAAGAUGAAUUUCCGAGGAUGAAUCUCACUUCAAACACAAACACAAAUUCAAUUCAUAAGACAAAGCAAUCACUGAGCCCAUACUUUGUUAGCUUCCAGCACUGGUCUUGCAUCAAGCUUAUCAAGGGUGAAAUCACAACCACCACUUUCCCAAUUAACAAUGAGGAAUCUGAAAGCACAGGGACUUACCUGCAUAGAAAAAACCUUCCUGUAAAUAAAUACACAAUUACUAAGAAGCACACAAGAUUAAUCAGAGAGAAAUAACAAAACCAGAUCCUGUUGCAGCAAGAACAAGACAAUCUUCAUUUGCAACCCAAGCAGCUAGGGCUUCCUUCUGAAAACUUUUCAAUGCUGAAAACCAAAAAUGCUUUUGCAACAACUUGCUAACUCUGUGCUCCCAAUCAGAUGCUACAUCCAAAUCUCCAUUCACAUCAGAGUCGCUGACGACAAAGGGAAACUCCGGGACGGUCUCGAUGCGGUGGCCGCGGGCGGGCGAGGAUGAAUGACGGAACAACGGAGGUUGCGAUGGCGGAGACCAGGGCGUGGCGCUUCUGGUUCACGUUGAUCUUGCGGUGCCAGCGACGCCAGAUCUUUGUGGGAGCGAACAUGUGACCACCACGACACAUGUUUCCGAAAGCUCCCUGGCCAGCAUGGUGGGUACAACCACCGGGGACACGGGGGAUACGGGAGAAAGCACGACCAGUUCCUCAAGACUCGGCGAAGCACUGGUGGCCGGCGCGACGGGAGACGGCGAAAGGCUGGCGGCUAUUUUUGGAGAUGUUGAAAUGGGCGAAAUUUUCGAUGUCAGGACGGAUUGAAGCUCUCAUGACAUUAGGGAUGGAAUGGUGGUGGCAGCAUCGGAGGACGCAUCGUCUCUUUUUCUGGUGGUGUGGCCGUGGCUGUUGUGGCUCGCCUGGAAUAGAGGAGGAUGUUGUGGCUCGCUUGGAACAGAGGAGGAGACGAUGGUGCACAACUCUGUCGAGGAAGGAGGAGCCAUAGAAGAAGAGUGGAACAUGGUGAUGUUUCAGCAGAAAGAAAACGAGAGAGAAGGAGAGUGAUGAGAGAGUGAGAGCAUGAAUCAGUUAGAUGAGGGAGAGAGUAAGCGGAUCUGAUUUGAUGAGAGAGGAGAGAUAUGUGCUUGAGAUGAGAGUAUUGAGAUAAGGAGGAGAGAGAGUACAUAGGUGCCUACAUCUCAUUGGUUGAAGGGGAAAGUUGAGAGGGAAAGUUAAGAGAGAAAAUUGGGAGGGAAAGUUGAAAGGGAAAGUUAAGAGGGAAAGUUGGGGGGAAAGUCAAGAGGGAAAGUUGAGAGGGAAAGUUGAAAAUUUGAGCACCUAAAAUCAGGUUGUUUCAGCUAUUUCGUUUGUUAAAUGAUUAAAGAUAUAUGCAAUGAUGGUGUAAACUUUGUUUACACAAACAUCUAAUUAAAUUUGGUUUGGUCAAAAAAUGUGUUUUUAUUUUAAUUGAACUUAAAAAUGAAUGUAAUUCUCUUUUCUAUGUUGUAUACAUUGAUUAGAUUGUUUCAACAAGUCGAGUUGGCUAAUCUUAGUAACUUAUCAACCUUAAAAGCUUAAUUAGGUUGUUUCGACAGGUCAAUCUUAACCAAAAUAUCUAAUCUUAAGAACUUAAAAGCCUCAUAUGCUUAUGUAAUUUUGGCAUAUCGAUCUUGCAUGAACUAGUUAAUAUUAUGAACUUAAGAUCAAGGUUAGCUAACUAUGUGUUGGUUCAAUAUCGGGUUCGUCCUUAUUAUCUAUCGGGUUCAUUCUAAUCAUCCAUCAGGAUCAUAUUGAGAUGGUGAACGAUCUCCUCAUCAUUAAUCACAUGCCACGGCAAUGUCUAUAGCUUAUGAGAUGGUGAAGAUUAAACUAAUACUAAUUGAUAUAUGAAAAGGAAAAUUCAAAUGCAUUGCACCAACAAUAUCUAUAGCAUAACUAAUUAGAUAGAUAUAGCUUAUCUUCUUAAGUAUCUAAUUUAAAGUUUGAUCUUUGAACGGAAUGUAUGAAUAAUUAUUUGUUGAGAGAUAUAUACUUAAUGCGAUCUCAGAAUCUCGAGAGAUUAAUAAUAUCAUUACCAGUUGUGGAUAUACCUUGUGAAAAAAAUACAUUACGUCAAAUAAUUAAAUGAGUAUCUUCAAGUAAUUAAUUAAUUAAUAUUGGAUUAAACUUAAGUAGUUUGAAAAGACAAUUAGUCUGCACCACUUGGCUAAAAUUAAAUAUGGUAAACAUCACACGUUAGGUGCCCAAUCAAAUAGUUAACAACCACUAAUAUAUGAUGUGAUCUGUGUUAUGGGGUGGUAGAUCAUAGGUCUUAUUCAAGCUCAAAACUGACAUGGGCUUCAACUUCACCUUUUUAAUGUACAUGCUAGAAUCCAAAAUUAAGAGUUAAAACUAGGAUAAGUUCAUUGUGAUCAAUGGUCGAUCCCUUCAUUACAGUACAACUAUAUAGAGCUUACAUUGAUAUAUUUACAUAUCUAUGAAAACAUAUGUAUAUAUGAACAUCAAUUUAAUCAGGGAAAUGCGUGUUGGUUAUAAUUUUUUCUUUGUUUUAAAUCAAUAUAUACUCAUCGGAGUGAAUUUUGAUCAUUUAGAUUUUCGCCAAACAACUUGUUCUAUGUUCCUUUUCUCAUGCCUUGAAUAAUGCUUAUUAGAGCAUUGUUCUUUCAUAUUAUCAAUGAAUAACUUGUGUUUACAUUGUUAGAAGUUCGUUUGACAAAAUACCAUUUUGCACUACUUUGAUCCAAUUGGAACACUAAACGAUGAAAUAUGAUGUUUAUAGGUUUUAAAAAGUAAAAACACAUAUAACUAGAAUUUACAAACCACUUGCCUUGAAGAGUUUAAAAGUAUCUAUCUUUACCUAAAUCUUUAAGUAUAUUUUUAUUUAUUUCACAUGUAAGAAAUAUGCAUUUUAAAAUACAUAUGUAUCUGUUAAUCUAAAUAGCAAAAAGUUGAAUUACAUUUUUGUGGUCAUUUGGCCACCAGUCUCCACCGGGAAAAGGAGAAAGUUCAAUUUCAUUAAACAUAUAGUCUUCAAUUUAAGUUAUAUGAAUAAGAAACACUAAAAAUGGUAGGGAAGAAUUAACUCCAUCUAAACGUUACUUAGAUUAAUUAGGAUUAGGAAGUCGCUUUGGCGCUUUGCCAACGCAAUUCAAAUUAGCAAAAAAAACACAUAUCUGGGCCUUUUUGCAUUAGCCCAUUCUGUUGGUUUUUUUUGUUUGGCUGAUGGACCUUCACUUUUCUAUAAGGAUUUGAUUGUUUUUUUUCUUGGGCUAGUUUUUUUUGCUGCUGACCCCUCCUUUUUUGGUGCCAAAAACGCAUAUCUGGGCUUUUUUGCAUUAGCCAAUUCUGUUGGUAUUUUGUUUGGCUGAUGACCUUUUUUUUUAUACUUUGACUCUUUUUUUUGCGCUAACACAAGUUGAUUAAUCUUAAGUUAAGAAAAUCACUAUAAUAGAUAAACCUGAUUUAAGCUCUAGUUUAACUAAGACUAUAGAAUAACAAGCUCUAGUUUAACUGAGACUAUAGAAUAACAAACUCUAGUCUAACUAAGACUAUAGUAUAACUAAGCUUCAGUUAGGAGGGUCAUUAGAAUAACUAACCAUAGUCUAAUCGAGAUAAUAGUAUAACUAACAUUCGUUUAAAAGGGUCAAUGGAAUAACUAACGUUAAGUUAAGAGGUCAAUAAAAUGGAUAAUCCUAGUUUAACGUAGACUUUAGAAUAACUAAAUUAGGUUAAAAGUGUCAUUAUCCAUCAAUUCACUAGUAUUCAUUUAAAUAUUAGAAUUGAUCUAAUUAUAUCCGCAAAUUUGGAAAGAUUUUCAUGAAACGAAUAUCACCGUUGCUUCUGGAAUGGUCGAAACCCUUAGAAUCGGCUCCUCUUGGACCCAAAACGGAUAAAAAUGACCAAAAUUAUUAAAAAAACACAUUACUUAAGUUUAUUCAAAGGCCAAUAUCUGGUCCUAUUUGCAAAUCUGGAAAGAUUUUUAAGAAAUGAACCACACCAUUGCGUCCGGAACGAUCGAAAACCUUAGAAUCGACUCCUCUUGGACCCAAAACGGAUAAAAAUGACCCAAAAUUUCCAAAAAACACAUUCUGCCACAUGCCAGCACGAGAACAAGCUACGUCAGCGUCUCUGACGUCAUCAGGCGCGUGUGUCUCAUAGCUGAGAGUGGCCGCCACUCUCCUUCUUCCUCUAGCGCGAGUGGGGCGCGUGGCCGAGAGUGGGCUCACUCUCCGGCCACCUCGCCGACAAGUGCGGGAGAGUGUGGCUUCGUCCGGGCUCCGUUUGAGAUUCCGGAACUUGUUGCGGACUCGUCUCAGCCUUCUGAAUCCAUCUAUGACCUCAGAUUUUCAUUUUGGGAACUUUUAAAAAUGGGUCAUUUUCGAAAAUGAUGAUUCCGGCCACCUCGAGUCACCAUCAAAGCUCUAGUAUGACUUGUUGGGACCGUGACUUGACGAGGAACAUCGAGGAGACAGAUUUUGCACAAAUUCUCACCAAACAUUGAACAAACAACAACAUAAAAUUAUUUUUCCUAGCUAGUUACCACUUAUGGAACCCAGAAAGUGAGAAUAAUUUUAUGCAGUUAUUUUUCUAUUCUUUCACUAUGAGGGACUGAAUAUGAAUCAAACAGAAAUAAGGGACUGAAUAUAAAUCAAACAAAAAUAAGGGGCUAAAAGUGGGAAGCAGAAUUUAAUUUUUAAAUAGGCCCCUGACGCAUUUACAUUAAUGGCGCCGAAAAAAUAAUAAUUUGACUUUCAGUCCUUUUUUUUUGGGGCACCUGUGCCUCUCCAGAAAAAUGGCAUAUGUAAGCUUUCCCCUAAUUUUUUAAGAAAAAUUUAUCACUAAUAGUCUAAAAUUGUUAUGUUCCAAACUCUCAUUUAUCUAUAGGAAAAAGAAAUGUCAUUAAAUUAAAGUGCAUUUAAUUUAAGCUUGUGUAGUAUACUUCUUUUUGUGUGGUAGACAAACUAAAAAUUUAUAAUUAUAGUACAAAGGUCACCAUUAAGAUGAAGGAUAAGUUAAAUUAAAAAAAGAAGUCAAUGAUAAAUCCUAUAAAAAUUAUGGAUGAUAAGUCUUAUUAUAAGUGCCAAAUUGCUAAUUAAUGAAAAAUGGAAAAAAGUGGGAGUUACGGUAAAAACCCAAGAUGGAAAUCUCGAACCUAUCCUUGGUGAUAUGCAAACUACUAUCCACCAGUACAACAUAGAAACAUACAAAACGAGCAAUUAAUUUUGUUGAUUUUUGAAAAAGUUGAGAAAAUAUGUGGGGUUGGAGUUCCCCGGCAGUGAGGAAGAGGUCAUUCAUGAAUUGACGGAAUUCCUUAGAGAAAAUGAUCUUGUUUGCUCGUAGUGGUCUUUUGUUGAUCUGUGGCUUUUGAGGCGCUUGGGGCUCUUGUUGUUGGGUUUGGGUUGUCUUGGCUUUGAGCCUUUUAGGGCUUUUGGAGUUCUCAUUGUGGUUUAGUUGUUGGUUGCUUUUCCAUGGCUGGGUUCUGUAAUUCUUUCGCGUCUCCUCUUUGAGAGAUUGUACUUUUCUUUUAAUUUUUAAUAAGCUCGCUCUUUUGCUCUCUGAAAAAAGAAAAAGAAAAAGCUCUUUGAGAGAUUGCACUUUUCUUUAAGUAUUAUUUUCUCUCAUCAUUUAAACUCUCACAUUAUUUAUGUUUUCCUUUAUUUCUCAAAAUUUAUUGCAAGAGGGUAUUAUUGGAAAAAAUAUAUUUAAUACAAUCUUAAAUGUGUAAGUCGUCAGUUAAAUAAAAACAAUUUUUUUCAUCAAUUGACAGCUAAAUAGUAACGGAGACAUGGUAGAUUCUAACAUGUUGCUGCAAUGCAAGCAAGCAAGCAAAUUAAUCAUGUAUUCUCCACUAUAAAUACCUAUAUGCAUCAAGCAAUGCAAUCACACCCAAAACCUUGUCUCCAGUUAUUCCCCAUUCAAGCAAGCAAAUUAAUCAUGUUACCUCCAGCAUUAGCUAUACCUGCGUUGCUCCUUCUGAUAUUACUUUUCAUUCUAUCAGUUGCCCUGCUUCUUAAUCCAAAAGAACAUAAAAAUGGUAGGAAAUAUCCACCAGGUCCCAAACCUCUGCCAAUUAUUGGCAACCUCCACCAGCUGGGUAAACUCCCUCACCGAUCCAUGCACGAACUUUCAAAAAAAUAUGGACCCGUCAUGUCCUUAAAGCUAGGAAAGGUCCCAACCAUUGUGAUUUCAUCCCUUGAAACAGCAGAGCUAGUCCUCAAGACCCAUGACAUUGUUUUUGCUAGCAGGCCUAUAACUCAAGCAUCCAAAUACAUUUGUUAUGACAGUAAAGGCAUAAUUUUCACUGAGUAUAAUUCCACUCACUACACCAGAAAAGGGCUUUUACAGCGCCCCUUUUACAGCGGUUUAGGUGGCAGCCGCUGUAACAACACAAACACGGAGCGGUUGAUGGGCUAUUACAGCGUUUUAUUAAACUAACCGCUGUAAAAGCAUUACCUUUUAACAGCGGUUCUCUUAGAAGGCGCUGUAAACACAAAAACACGGAGCGGUAAUAGGCUUUUAUAGCGGUUUAUAUACUGACCGCUGUAAAAAAUAGGUUCCAAUAUUUACAGCGUUUAUUAAACUAACCGCUGUAAAAGUAACGUAAAUAAUAAAAAUCAAGAAUUCAGGUUCCGUGGAUCGAACCCAGGUUCCCUUAAUAAAACGCAGGCUUAAUUGCAGUUUUGCUCCUUUAUCUUUCACCUAUGUGUGAUUUGACUCCUUCAUGUUUAAAACGAGCACAUUUACUCCCUUGUCUUUCAAUUUGUGAAAAUUAACUCCUUCCAUUAGUGAGUUUUUUUAAAAUUGACGGAAUUGACUGACGUGAUGUUCAUUAAAGGACAUGAUUCUGUUAAAAUUGAGCAUUUGGAUGUCAUUUCACUAAAUAAAUAAAAAAAUAAUUAAAUAAGUAAAAAAAUAAUUAAAUAAAACUGAAAUAUUAAUCCCUAAUUAAAUAUGAGUGAAUUUAGUUUUUUUAAUUUAUUUGUGUCAUUUUUAUUUUGUUUAUUUACUUAUGUGUCAUUUUGGGAGGUAAGUUACGUCAUCCUUGAUCGUGGAACAAGCAAAUUCCGCCUGAAAUUAGACGGCAAAUUGACAAAGGGAGCCAAUUUUCACAAAUUAGAAUUUUAGGGACCAAAAUCGCUCAUUUUAAAUAUGAGGGAGCAAAAUCACACAUAGGUGAAAGAUAAGGGAGCAAAACUGCAAUUAAGCCUAAAACGCAAUAGUCUUUCCACUAGGCUAGAUUCACUUUAUGGUAGAUAUGUACAAUUUAUAGUAUUAAUAUAAGAUUUAGUUGAUUUCUUUAAUAAUUGGUUCAAAAAAUGUUCUGUGUGGGAUUCGAACCCGAGGCACCACAGAAAAUAUAAUGAGUCCUUUCCACUGGGCUGUUACACGUUUUUUAUUAGUUUGUUCGUUUUGUAUAUAUAAGUAUUAUUUUCUUUAUUGAUUUUGUAAAAUUACAUCUGUAACUGCAAACCCUUAUUUUUUACCAGUUACAUCUUUCACCAAUCUGCUACCUCACGACGUAAUCUCGACCUGCUACUUCUCUCAAAGCCCUCGCCACCUCCUGCCUCCGCCGUCCUUGCCGUCGCCGCCUCCAUCCCUUCCGCCGCCGCCGCCGCCUCUGCCUCCGUCCCUGCUGCGCCGCUGCCUCUCUUGUUUUGGGUCGCUUCCUGCACGGUUGUUGCCCUGUUCUCAUUAUCAUCCUUUCGAGACUGUAGCUUUGAAGAGCGUUGCUUCCACCGUGUAAAUCAUGAUGUGGAGACUCCAGGUAGCUUCCAUUGCUCAAUGUUCAUUAUUGUUCUAACUCUUGAUCUUGCUCUUUGUUCAUCAUCGCUCCUAUUCUCGAUCGUGCUCUCUUUGCUGUUUGAUCUUGGAUUUAAUGCUCUAACUCAAUGGAUCUCAUAGGCUCUAACUCAAUGGCUCUAUUCGCUAUCAAAAAUCCCUCUUAUGCAGUAUUUCUCGCUCAAUUUCAUCAAUCUAGGUCUUCUCAAGAUCUGAUGCCUUAGUUCAAUAGAUAGUUUAGUCGAAGCUUGUUGUGUUUUAGAUUAAUGUUAGGGUUGUUUUUUUUUUUUUUUGCUAGAUUGACAUUUCAAUUAACAUUGCUUUGUUACUUUCAUCGAGGUGAACAAUGUAUGGUUAGAGGGAACACCCAUCAGUUCCCCUUUCAGCGCUCUGGAAGAGCGAAUUGGCGAAUGAGAAAACUAAGAACCGGAGAUGGUAGAGGCUAGCGAGAACAAGAAAGGAGAGGAUCUCAUGCUACUAAAAAUCGAAUGCCAAAGGGUGGUGGGAGAUGGAGUGUGUACAUACUCUGUUUUUUUAGUAUGUUUCUUUCUUGCGCCAUCACCUCCUGCUUUUCUUUUACUCAGAUUUGAUAGAUUGUGAUUUUGAUGCAUCAAAAAGUCAAUUUUUGUGUGAUGUCUUAUUUUCUAAUACUAGCAUGGCAAGAUGAUAAAGAAAAGUAAAUGAUUGAGUGAAAAUGUUAUGCUAUGCUGCUUGAUGCUGAGUUGCUUUAUAUUUGUCUCACCUUUGUUAUUCAGUUUGAAUUUUUAAAUAUUCUGAACUGUUGAUGCUACACAUGUAUGCAGAGGAUCAGGAGGUAUUCGCCGACUGAAAUUGAAGGCAUACACAAGUAUUUUUAUAACUUCGUAUAUUAAGAGAACAUAUUGAGUACCCUCUCUGGAAGCUAAAUAUUUGCAUGUGCUUGACAAUUUUUUCAGGAAUAUAUACGAGAUGGCAUUGACUGGGCUAAAGUUGAAUUAUACCUGUACCCUUCCUUGGAUGCUGUCAUUUCGGUUCAAACUGAUUUACGGAAGGCACACUUCCAUUAGCAAUGGAUUCACUCUUCUCCUUAUCUCUCUAUGUGGAUAAUGAUGUCUUAUGCUUGAUUGUGUUGUGUUUAUUAGGGUUUCAUUUCGAUUACAUUUCAAAUUUGUUGUUUUGUAUUUGAUUUAGGUUUGAAAUUGAUAUCGUUAACUUAUAAUUUUUAUUUCAGAUCUUUCUCUCUUUGAAUGCUGCAAUUUAAGAUUUGGAUUUGUGGGAGAUGGUGAUUCCGGUGUUGUGUUGCAGGUUUUGGAUGCAUGUGUCGAUCAUAAGAUGCGUUCAGUCUCUCAUACAAUACUUUCUUGAUUCUUCACUCUACUCCACCCUCACAACAUCGAUUCUCAGAAUUGAAGGGAAUAUGAAGAACACCUCUGUCCAAGCAUAGUUGACUAUGCUACAGUCCCCGGAAAAGAAGCAGGUACCACCAGUAUAAAUAAUAAUGCUAGGAAAUCAUCUUGCUCCUGUUCAGGUUUCUAUUUGUCUAUUUGUGUAUUAUUCCUAAUCUAAAGAAAUUAAAGCUAGGAAAUUCCAGAUAAAUUUUGUUAUAGAUGCAUGUGUCUCUUAGUUGGAUAGUGAGUCUAAAUUUUAGAUGUUAAUGUCCUAUAAUGAUAAUUCCUAUGAUUUCCAUCUCAGCUUACAUCGUCUUGUGACUUAAAUCAUAAACAGGUAUUGAUUUUGCAGCAAUAUAUUUUGCAGCAAUCAUAAAUCUGCAGUUGAUGUCUCAUGUUUAAGGUUUGCAUUGUUAUAAUCCAAACUCCACUGAGAAAAACUUUGAGAAAGUUGUUGUAUAACUGAUUUUGUUCUGAGGGAAAUUCCCUCAUCCGGUGGCAAACUGAGGAGAUGUUUUAGAAUAUCUUUCAUCUUUCCAGAACGUCCCGGGUGCAAUAAAAGAGAGAAUUUUUUCGAGACAAAGUCUCGGAGAGUCUGCAAUGCUUUCUGGGUUUCUUCAAUUUUGUAAAUGCAACCUAUGGGUAGCAACUAAAAAUAGAGAUUCAAAUGUGAGAGCACAGGAGCAUAUAAGCCUAUUAAGUGGUUGUAUUGUUGUUAAAACUCUGGAAUGAAACUUGAAUAAGAGUUAUUGUAUGUUUAAUGAAGCUGUGAAUGGAUUUGCAGAUGAUGGCUGGUCCAUGUUAGAGAGUGAUGGCAUUGAUGAUGUCACCCUUCUUGUGAAUUCAUCACCGAGCAAGAUGAUGGGUGCAAAUCUUGGAUAUAACAAUGGAUUCCCAUCCAUGACCAGUUCUGUGCUAUGUGCCAAAGCAUCCAUGUUGUUACAGGUAUAAUUCUUUAAUACUCCAUAAUGUGGACUAAUGCUAUUGCUUAUUGCUCAGCUCUUAGGAAUUGCUUUUACUUUCUAUUGUUUUCAAGCAAUUGAUUUCCAUGUAUUUAGUUGUCUCAUGCUCUUUUUCUGUCUUUGUAGAAUGUCCCUCCAGCUAUUCUUCUUAGAUUCUUGCGGGAGCACCGAUCAGAAUGGGCAGAUAGCAGUAUUGAUGCUUACUCAGCUGCUGCCAUUAAAGCUGGCCCCUGUAGCUUGCCAGGGGCCAGAGGAAGUUUUGGGGGUCAGGUUAUUCUUCCACUAGCUCACACAAUUGAGAAUGAAGAGGCAAGUUGUUUUCUCCUAAUUUUAUAAUCUAGUACAUAUUUACUAUUUAGAAAUUACCAUUUAAUCUUCCAACAUAAAAUUGAAUACAUGUUAACUUGGCUUGUGGAUUAUAUUAACUUUUUUGUGUUUCUCUUCCGGCAUAUUACAUACUAACUGACACUUUAUCUCUAAAAUAGUUCAUGGAGGUUAUUAAGCUUGAAAACAUGGGCUACUAUCGGGACGACAUGACUAUGCCUGGUGAUGUUUUCCUCUUGCAAGUAAGUACUGCUCCAUGAUGCCAUUCUUUUCAACAUAUCUAUGUCCAUACCUUACAGCAUCAUGGAAAAAUUCAUAAAAUUUUAAUUGAGGGAAUGCCUUCAAUUAAAAUCCAUUAAUAUUCUGUUGGUUAAUUUUUCUCAUUCGCUAACUAAUCGUCCCUGGCUUCUAGAGUUUGCAAAGGAUAAGAUGCAUCAAAUAUCAUGAAUGGAUUUGCAUGUAGUUAUAGGAAUAGUCAGGAAUUAAGGAUCUAUAUGAAGUUUGAUUUUAAUUGAAUAGCUAUAACACUUGCGCCUGCAUAUAGUUCAGAAGGUUUAAUCCAAUAUCAAGUUUAUAGCUAACAGUGUUUGUUGCUGCACCUGUCAUCAGCUUUGCAGUGGAGUGGAUGAGCAUGCAGUUGGCACCAGUGCAGAACUAGUUUUUGCUCCAAUAGAUGCGUCUUUCUCUGAUGAUGCACCCAUUUUACCUUCCGGUUUUCGUAUUGUACCUCUUGAUUCUGGCACGGCAAGUCUUUAGCUUGACACAUGAUUUGAUUGUGUUGUUUUUGAAAUUUGCUUGCUUGCUUUAAUUUUCCCUUUUUCUUUAAGUUAGGAUUCUGAUUUCUGUCUUAUAUAAGAUGCAGGAUGCUGCUAGUCCAAACCGGACACUUGAUCUUGCCUCAUCACUUGAGGUUGGAACCACAGCAAACAAAGCUGCUGGUGCCAAAUACAGACAAAAAAAAAAAAAACAAAUUACAGCGGUUCCGUGGUGGAACCGCUGUAAUAUAUAUUAUCAAAUACAGCGGUUACCGGCUGAAACCGCUGUAAAAGAAGACUCAAUUACAGCGGUUAUUCUAGAGAACAGCUGUUGUAGGUCUGUAUUUACAGCGGUUUUAUUAAAUCAACCGCUGUAAAUAAUGCAUCUUUUACAGCGGUUAGAACCGCUGUUAAGGCUUUUACAGCGGCGAGAUCUACAGCGGUUCUGGACCGCUGAAAACCGCUGUAAAAGGCAAAAAAAAAACCGCUGUAAAAGCCAUUUUUUGGUGUAGUGACUACAAAAAAACCUGUUUUUAGUGGCACUAUAUUUGUGGCAUUUAUAAAAGAAUGCCCCAAAGUGAUAUUAAUCUGGCAUUUAAGUAGAAUGCCACAAAUUUGAGAACGCAACCCUAGCUAAUUAGUAGCUAUUUGGCAGCAAAUUACUUGUGGCAUUUAUUUAGAAUGCCACUAAUUUAGGAUCAGAUUCGCAGCUAAUUAGUAGCUAUUUGGAAGCAAUUUUUUAAAGUGAUGAUAUCAAUCUUUUUUUUGAACGUGAUGAUAUCAAUCUAUUAUUUAUAAAAUUGAUAUUGUUAGAAUAUAUAUAACAAACCUCACUGUUAGAAUAUAUAUAUUUUUGAAAGACCGUUAGAAUAUAUAUAUAUAUAUAUAGAUAAUUUAACAUUCAAGGUUUCUUUUUUUUCAUUUUAAAAAAAUGGUUUCUUUUUUUAAUUUCAAAAAAAAGGUUACUCUUUCUUAAAAAAUAUCUUGCUCGAAAAUCACUCAUUCAACAAAAGUGAACAAUAUAUCUAUAGCUAAGUUGAAAAUCACCCACUGAACAAUCAUCGAACACACGCAUUCAUCUCUCACUCGCACAAACUCUGCAACUCUGCACCGAUCGAAAUUUCAGCGUCGCGCAUCAUCGCCGCGCAUCACCGCCGCGCAUCGGUUGUCUUCACCACCGUGACAGAGCUUCCGGAACACCACAACCCUCGCCUCACUCUCUUACUGGUUAUCUUUCUCACUCAUCUAUAUCUCUAGGGUUUUUCUGUUUGCUUAGAUUCCAAUGUGUGUGCGUCUUCUCCUCUAUAAUUUUCCGAUUCUGAAUUCCGAGUAUUCCAAUUUUGAAUUUUGAGUUUUCCAUUGUGCGAAAAUGCAGAAUCGAAGAACGACAAGGAAGAAGAAGGGAAUGGAAUUGAGUUGAUUGUGUGUGAGAACCGAACAUGACAUCGUUUGUUGCUCACUGAAGUAGGUAAAAUCAAACCAAACCAAACCUUCUUGACCUUAAUUUCAUGCUUUAAUCUCUCACUCGAUGUGUUUGCUUUCAUUUCUAUGCAUCGCUACUUGAUUGUUGAGGAAAUCGUGUAAAACAAGUGAGUCUAUGUGCGUUUGCGUUUGCGUUUGUGCCAGCGCAUGCAUGCCAGGUGUUUGAUGAAAUUAUUGCUUCAUAUGUAUCCCUGUUUUUUAUUGUUGAGAGUGUCAGAGAUCUGUUUCAUGAGUCUAAUUCUUGUAUCAUGAGAUCAUGUUCUGUUUUAAGGUGAUUUUGGUACUAUCUUGUAUAUACUUUUCAUUACAUUGCUGAAUUAUGCUACUGAGGAUUGGCCUGCUGAAACAUGUACUCUUAAUCCUAAUCCUACUCUAACCAUCAGAUUGGUCCAAGUAGGAUUAGGCCAUUAGUUUCCCUGGUGAAAACAUUUACAAGUUUGAGUAAUUUUAUGUUACAACUUCCCCUAUUUGUUUUUUCUUUCUAGAAUUGAGUCACUAAACCCUGCACAUUAGAACGAAUGCUGAUGGUUAGUACUGUCAAUUUAUUAAAAGGCAAUGGCUAUUACAAUUUGCUGAACAGGGCAAUUAAAUUGCUCACUUCAAUUUGUUGAAAAACAGAAAAAAGUUGUUCUAUAUCCAUUUAGACUUAGUUACAAUUUUAAUCCUUUCUUGCCCUGAUUUUCUUGUCUCAUUGUCUAUAUCCAUGUAAUCUGUAGCUAUUGUUAGUUUGGGUCUGUAUCUUGCCUCUGUAUCAUGCAUAAAAUCAAGUGAUCUAAAGCUAAAUUGAACUGCUCUCUCUUCUCGCUCCAGCAUGUUUUUUUUUAAUUACUUUUGCUGGAUAUAGUAAGUAAUUCUCUCUCUUCAUUGCUCUCAUUUCCUAUGCAGAUUCUGGUCUGGAACGAACUGCUUUCUUUCUUUCUCCUUCGUAAGGAUCUCUCUCGGGUUCACAAGGUACCCUCUCUCCCCUACUUGCUUUCGGUUUCAACUUAGUUACACGAUCACCAAAAUGGAUAAAUCAUGGAUUGAUAUGCCGCGAAACACAGUUGAAUAUCUUGAGGGGUUAGAUAAGUUUCUAAACUUUGCGUUUGAGAAGCGGUCAGUUGAUGGUGUAAUAAGAUGUCCAUGUCCUAUAUGUUGCUGUAAUAAAUGGGAAAGUAGAGAUGUAGUGCGUGACCAUUUGAUUUGCAAGCAGUUUCCAAAAAAUUAUAAGGUUUGGAUAUGGCAUGGUGAAACAUAUGAAAGUAUGACAUCAAGGGACACUGAAGUAAUAUCGGAGCCACUGCAAAAUGAAAAUCCAGUACUAGACAUGAUUAAUGAUUAAGUGCGGAGGGCCAGUACAUUAUCGUUGGAUGUAUCCAAUUGAGAGGUUAUUUCUUUUUAAUGCAUUAAACUCAUUUAUUAUUUUAUAUAAUUAUUAAAUAUGUAAUAUAUUAUUUUAAUACCUUUUUGUGAUCAUAGGUUUUUAGGACAUUUGAAGUCCUUUGUACGAAAUAAGGCGCAACCGGAAGGUUCCAUAAGUGAAGUUUACUUAGCUGAAGAGACACUCAAUGUGUAUUCACGAUAUGAAGGUGUUGAAUCGAGGAUGAAUAGGAGUCGCCGUGUUGAUGAUAAUCCAAAUAAUAAUGAAACUUCUCAAAUGUCCUCCAUUUAUCCUCAAUUAGGUAGACCAGUGGGGAGUUCAUCAACUUUCACUUUGGGGCCUUUAGAAAAAAUACAAGCGCAUCGAUUUUUGCUGCUGAAUUGUCCAAGAGUCAAGCCAUAUGUUGAGUAAGUAUUCUGAGGCAGUUCAUGUGAUUAUGAGAGUAAGAAUAUAUUCGUGCAUUAUUAACAUAAAACUUUUUUUUGUAGUGAAUUUAGAGCAUUCAUUAGGAAGAGGAGUAGAAAUCGAAGACCUUCAGCUACAGACAUAGAGAAGAUAGUUGCUAAAGAUUUUGCAAAUUGGUUUCCUCAACGGGUGAUGAAUCCAGACACUACAAACUCAAUUCCAGAUGAAAUCAAGUUUCUAGCCAGAGGUCCAAUGUCGUGUGCAAAAAGAUAUAGUGCAUAUAACAUCAAUGGGUUCAAGUUUAGAACGGUAGAUAGAGAAGAGGGUCUACAAACUCAAAACAGUGGAGUUUUUUUGACUUCAAACACACCAUGUGUUGCAAGUAGUGCUGAUGCAAAUUUAAGGCGAGCGGAUUUGCCAUACUAUGGUAAACUUGAAGAUAUAAUUGAGCUCAACUAUUAUGGUUAUUUCCAAGUUGUCCUUUUCAAGUGUAAAUGGGCAGAUACCACACGCGAUAGAGGGUUUAGAAAGGAUGCUUGGAAAUUCUCUUCAGUGAACUUUUCUCGAUGUAUUCACACUGGUGAUAGGGAAGAGCAUGAUCCAUAUAUCGAAGCUUCACAAGCACAAUUAGUGUAUUAUGUGGAUGAUGAGGUCAAUAAAGGUUGGAGUGUUGUGGUGCAUAUGAUGCCAAGGGAUUUGUAUGACAUGGGAGAAAUUAUGGAUGAUAUUGAAAGUGAGGCAUACCAAGAGCAAGACUUAAGCAAUUUAUUGUCAAAUGAAGAUGACACAAUAACAUUGGCUAGAGAUGAUGUAGAUGGUGAAUUCAUAUAUGGAAAUGCAGAGAUGAAUGAGUAGAAAAAAAUAAAAAGGGAAUAUCUUUGGGUAGUAUGACACAUGUUUUUAAGUUCAUUUAACUUAUGAUUAUUAUUUUAUACAUGUUGCCAUAUGGGCAAGCAGCAGUACUUCUUUCUAAAGCUUGUGGAUGCAUUGCUAGAGACCCUGAUCAUGUUCCUAUCAAUUUUGAAAGUUGGAAAGCAGUACUUGAUGAUUACAAAAAGGAGUGCUUUAAAAUUUUGAAGGUACGCAAAUUAUAUUGUCAAAUGUGUACUUUUAUGUUCUAUUUUUCUGGUUUCUGUUCUGUUUCUGUUUCCUGUCUAUGUACUGCUGGGAUGUUGCAUUUUACACUUGGUAUCAGAGCCUGAUGGGGAAGUAGGAACAUGCUAAAUAUGUUAGAUAUAAGUUAUUUCUCUGUUCUGUUCUUAUAUAAUUAAGCACUAUGGUCGGGAACUGGACUGGUAGUACACUUUGAACUAAACUAAAAUGAAAGCUCUUCUGAAAACCUUCUAGGAUUAUUACUAUUCAGACUUAUGAUCAUCUCUGCAGCGGAGGCGUUGAAGGCAGUAAGUCCCUGUGUGGCAGUAAGUCUAUAUUGGCCAUACUACAGACAUGUUAUUAAGUUCUGAAUAUUUUUAAUGUCCUUGUUUAGUUUCUUUUUGUGGUGGCUUAAGUCUGAUCCAGAUCUAUACUGCUCAACUAUUAAGAACAACGCAGAACCUAACUUAUAUUUCUAAUUUAUUUAUCUGUUUCUAUAGAACCAGGUGAUGGCGAUGAUACUUACGGGUAAGGAAGGUCUGUCUUCUAUGAUGCUUCGCUCUUUCUCUUCUAAGCUUUCUUUCAGAUCUUCCCAACCCUCUUCUUCUUCUAUCGAUCAUCCUCAUCAAUCCAAUCAAUUAUCCAAAUCUGUCUUCAAAGAAGAAAUUCAUUUUGAAGAUAUCAAUCAAGAUCUCGACAACUGGGAAAUCCCUAAAAUCUCUCAUGCUGAGAUCUACAAACCAAACGGAUCCUUUUUCAAACGAUCAGACUUCAUCAUCAAAACCGUUGAGCAAACCUACAAGCUCAGAUCUGAUAAUGAAGAAAUCCAUCUGCUUUCUGAGAAAAGCGUCAAAGAUCAUAUCAGCAAGAACUUCAACUAUCUUCACAUAGAUCUAACUGUCAGUCUGGAAGACAAAAACAUCCUUGACGUUCUCUUCCUAAAUAUCAAGCUUCACGGCCUUGAUAUGAAAGAAGAUUCCAUACCAAUCUCUUUGAUCUACAGGGUUCAAUACAAGGUAAUGAACUCUAUCAAAUCUUAUUUCUUGCGAACCAAUUGUGAGAAAUCCGGAGAAACAACUCUUUUCCUUACAGAUUAUGAUAAGGCAAACGUUAUUGUUCCCAAAACCAUCCAAUGGAGUGAUAUCACCCUUCCAGAGAAAUGGUCUUUGGAAAAGAAACCCUUUCUAACCUGCCACCUAAAACUCCUUUCCUUCUUAAAGGAGCUCAAUCUACACCUGUCCUAGCUUCUCCCUUCAAGACUAGAAAAGAAGAAGGGGAUGUCACUGGAAAAGACAUCAAAGACCUCAUGGAACAAUCCAAUUACACCAAUAAAUAUCUUCAAAUUCUUGGAGAAUCCCAAGUACAGGAUUCCUCUUCCAAGAAAGGAAAAGAAAAGGUCAAGAUUGAACCUUCCUCUUCUAAUCUUGAUAUCCCUAAAGGAUGUCAACUUGAGAAACCCCUUUUCAAACCUUUUCAAAUCAGUAGCCGUUCCAAACACUCGGCUCAAACUCUUCGAGCAAAAAAGGAAUCUGACAAUGAGCUCCUCCAAAAAGUGGUAGAGCAACUUCAGCUUCUCAAACAAGUUAUUCCUGAGACUCCGGAACCUCCUGAGACUCCGGAACCUACUCCGGAAGAAGUUUCUAAUCCCACUAUUACUGCUCUUCCUCCUCCAAAAACUCGUACUUCUACUCGUAAUACCUCUACUUCUUUAAAUAAUAUUGAAGAUGGUAAGGUUGAGUCUGAUUCUGAUAUUCAAUCUGACGUUCAAUCUAUCAAAAGUAUUCCUGUCAAUACUGUCAUUCACAAUUCUAAGAAUCAGUGGAGGAAAGAAACCAAGCUCUACUAUCCUAGAGCUACUGCUCCUGAUCUUCUUUUAGAAGAAUCUUCAAACUUCAAAAGCUUCAGUGCCAACAAUGUCUAUGAAUGGAACAUUGAUGGUGAAAAUGAGUAUGGUAUCACCAAAAUCCUCCAAAAUAUGACUAUGGUAGCCACUGCCUAUGUUACCGCCAACAAUUGUCCUGAAUCUCUUAUCGUUGAAGUCUUGGUUGCUGGUUUCUGUGGCCAGCUCAAAGGUUGGUGGGAUAAUUAUCUCACUCAAGACGAGAAGGAUCAGAUCUUGACUGCUGUCAAGACUGAUGAAGAAGGUAAUCCUAUCAUGGAAGAUGGAAAAUUCAUCUCUGAUGCCGUCAACUCCUUAAUCUUCACCAUAGCCCAACAUUUUGUUGGAGAUCCUUCCCUCAUCAAGGACAGAUCUGGUGAUCUUUUGUCCAAUCUUAAGUGCAAAUCUUUGGGUGAUUUCAGGUGGUAUAAAGAUACCUUCCUAACCAGAGUUUACACCCGUGAAGACAGCCAACAAGCCUUCUGGAAAGAGAAAUUCCUGGCUGGUCUUCCUAAAUCUUUUGGCGACAAAGUUCGUGAGAAACUUAGAAGCCAAAAUCCGGGGGGAGAAAUCCCAUAUCACACCCUUAGUUAUGGACAGCUCAUAGCUAUCAUUCAAAGAGUUGCUCUCAAAAUCUGUCAGGAUGACAAAAUCCAACAGCAACUCACUAAGGAGAAGUCUCAAAAUCGCAGGGAUUUGGGUACUUUCUGCGAACAAUUUGGAAUUCAAGGUUGUCCCAAGAAACCUAAACCCAGAAAGCAAGAUCCUCCUCCCAAACAACAAUGGAGAAAGAGAUCUAGCAGGAAUGAUCAUAGGAAACCCAAGCCUAGAUCAAAACCCCAAUCUUCGCAAAUUCCAAAGAAUCCUCCUGAGACUAGACCUUCUCAAGGAAAAGAUGUUACCUGCUACAACUGCGGCAAGCCGGGCCAUAUUAGCAGGUAUUGCAGACUCAAAAAGAGAAUCUCUGAGCUUCAUCUUGAACCUGAAAUUGAAGACAAGAUCAACAAUCUUCUCAUUCAAACUUCUGAUGAAGAAGAAUCUAAUCCUUCGGAUUCUGAGGUCUCUGAAGACCUAAAUCAAAUUCAGAAUGAUGAUUCUCAAUCAUCAUCUUCCGUCAAUACCUUGUCUAUCAAUACUUUGACCAAUGAACAAGAUCUUCUCUUCAGAGCUAUUAAUUCUAUCCCUGAUCCUGAGGAAAAGAAAAUCUAUUUGGAACGCCUCAGAUCUACUCUUGAAGAUAGGCCUCCCAAAAGUCCUAUAACCACCAAUAAAUUCAAUCUUAAAGAUACUUUCAAGCGUCUUGAGAAAUCUACGGUCAAGCACGUUACUAUUCAAGACCUUCAAUUUGAAGUCAAUUCCCUCAAGACUGAGGUCAAAAGUCUCAAGCAAAUCCAAAAAAGUCAGCAACUUAUUUUGGAGAAAUUGACUAAAAAUUAUGAAGAAGAUGAUUCUUCUAUACCUGAUUCCAAUCCUGCUCCUAACAACAAUUGCGAAGACUUUCUGGAGAAUAUUAACCAGGUCACCAUUCAGAAAUUCUUUAUCCAUGUUAAAAUCCUCAUUGGAGAUUUUGUUCUCGAAAUCCCUGCCCUCUUUGACACAGGGGCAGAUUCCAGUUGUAUCUCGGAGGGACUCAUUCCCACCAGAUAUUUUGAGAAAACAACUGAGAAGCUCAGCGCUGCUGAAGGAUCUAGACUAAAGAUCAAGUAUAAAAUCCCCUCAGCUAUCAUCAAAAAUGGUAGUCUUGAAAUCGAAACUCCAUUUCUGUUAGUCAGAAAUUUGAGUCAAAAAAUCAUUAUAGGGACCCCUUUCAUUAAGAAACUCUUCCCCUAUAAUACUGACGAAAACGGCAUCACUGUUCAGCAUCUUGGACAACCUAUCUUGUUCAAAUUCUCUGAACCUCCCAUAGAUAAGACUUUGAACGUCAUAUCCUACAAGGAGAAGCAGAUCAACUUCCUCAAGGAAGAAAUCUCUUACAGAACCAUUGAGGAACAAUUGCAACAACCUUCUGUUAAAUCAAGGAUUGAGGAUAUUUUGGAAAAUAUUCAAUCCAGCAUCUGUUCUGAUCUACCCAACGCUUUUUGGGAAAGGAAGAGCCAUAUGGUGGAACUUCCUUAUGAAAAAGAAUUUUCAGACAAACAGAUCCCAACCAAGGCUAGACCUAUUCAAAUGAAUGAAGAACUUCUUCAUUUCUGCCAAAAGGAAAUCAAUGAUCUCCUUGAAAAGAAACUUAUUCGCAGGAGUAAGAGCCCUUGGUCCUGUGCAGCCUUCUAUGUCAACAAACAAGCUGAGAUAGAACGAGGAACCCCUAGGCUGGUUAUUAACUACAAACCUCUCAAUCAAGCCCUUUGUUGGAUCAGAUAUCCUAUCCCCAACAAGAAAGAUCUCUUAGCCAGACUGCAUGAUGCUAAGGUCUUUUCAAAAUUCGACAUGAAAUCUGGCUUUUGGCAAAUCCAAUUGCAAGAGAAGGAUAGGUAUAAAACUGCUUUUACUGUUCCUUUUGGGCAGUAUGAGUGGAACGUUAUGCCUUUUGGGCUAAAGAACGCCCCUUCUGAAUUCCAAAGGAUUAUGAACGAAAUCUUCAAUCCUUAUUCCAAAUUCACUAUUGUCUACAUUGACGAUGUUCUAAUCUUUUCCCAAACUCUUGAUCAACAUUUCAAACAUCUCAAUACGUUCAUCUCUGUAAUCAAAAGGAAUGGCUUGGCUGUUUCCAAGACAAAAGUCAGUUUGUUCCAAACCAAAAUCCGAUUCCUUGGUCACAAUAUCCACCAAGGAACCAUCAUUCCGAUCAAUAGAGCCAUCGAGUUCACUGAUAAAUUCCCUGAUCAAAUCAUUGACAAAACCCAAUUACAGAGAUUCUUGGGUUGUCUCAAUUAUGUUGCGGAUUUCUGUCCUCAACUCAGUACCAUAAUCAAACCCCUUCAUGAAAGACUCAAGAAGGAUCCUCCACCUUGGUCCGAUAUUCAUACCAAUGUGGUCAAACAAAUCAAACUUCGUGUCAAGAAUCUCCCUUGUCUUUAUCUCCCUAAUCCUCAAGCUUUCAAAAUUAUUGAAAAUGAUGCCUCUGAUAUUGGUUUUGGUGGCAUUUUGAAACAAAAGGUUUCUGACAAAGAACAAAUUAUUGCUUUUACUUCAAAGCAUUGGAACCCUGCUCAGCAGAAUUAUUCUACUGUCAAAAAAGAAGUUUUAGCAAUCGUUUUGUCUAUUUCAAAAUUUCAAUCUGAUUUGAUCAAUCAAAAAUUCUUGGUUCGAGUGGACUGCAAAUCUGCCAAAGAGAUUUUACAAAAAGAUGUCAAAAACUUAGCUUCAAAACAUAUCUUCGCCAGAUGGCAAGCUAUUUUAAGUGUUUUUGACUUUGAAAUUGAAUAUAUAAAAGGAUCUUCAAAUUCUCUCCCUGAUUUCCUCACUCGUGAAUAUUUGCAGGGCAGAUCAUAAGAUGGCCUCCAAAGGCUCUUCCUCAUCCAGAGGAAGAGGCAGAGGUUCUCACAAGAACAAAGGUAUUACAAUUUAUGACUUAAUCCUCUCUGGGCCCACUGCCCAUCAAUCUGGACCCACUGUCCAAAAUCAAAAAUCUGAGCCCACUGCUCAAAAUCAAUCUCCCCAACCAAAACAAACCAAAGCAGAUUAUGCUUUAUCAAUUCCAACUCUCCUUGCCCUCAAACAAGCAGGCCUGGAUAAUGUUCCUCAGGGACUCAUCAAUUUACCCAAAAAAUCCUGGGCUAGCAUGACAGAAGAAGAUGAUGACCUUCAAUCUCUCCAAGCCAUCAUUGAUAAAACCAAAACCUUAGCAACUCAUUGCGGGAAAAAACCCGUUGUUGCUCAACCCAGUCAACCCAACCAAAAUACCGGUUAUCUAGCCAAAAUAAACUCCAAAUUCCAAACUUUUAUUGAACCAGAAUGGUGGGAUAGCUCUGGAGGAGUCGACCUUGCCAACAAAAUUGGCAUUAAACUCUUCCCAAAUCACCUUGAUCCCAUUCACCCAAACAAAUCCCAAAUUUUCUAUGAGUUUAUCCUUAUAGAUACAAACAGUGUAGAAAUCAAACACUUUAGGGAUAAAUCUGAUAACUCCCUUAUCACUCAUUCUACACUCCAAAUUCUCCGUGUCCUUCGUCCCACUGACUUUGGACCUAAUCCAAAUGGUUACAAAAAAUUCUCUCAGAACUUUGACCCUGUAGGUUUCAACUAUUGGGACUAUAUGAAAGCUUGGGAGAAUACAAUCCUUGGUCUACAAAAUCAGAAUUUCAAACACUCUUGGCUCAUUUAUUUUAAAUGGUCCAACAAAUAUUCUUUUCCAAAUUGGUUUCACUCUUGGUGGGAUUUCUUUGGACCUACUACGGAAAUCUUUCCCUCUGAAGUUCUUGAGGGUUACAAUCAUUUUUUAAAGCAUUGGAAUAAAGAUUUAAACAAUUAUCCUGAUUGUUUGAAUUUUUACACAAUCUUUUCCCUUUCUUGGGUAUUUGCCUGGCGUUAUGGUCUCAAGACAAAAGCCCAACCAAUUCUCCACAAACAACCCUUAAUCAAAUGGUGGAAGGUCUUUGAUGCUUCCAAAGCUCAUAAGGAGAAUGUCAAUCAGUGGUUUAAGUCUAACCAAAGGUGCCUUAAGCAUGCCAAUCCGCAAUCUAGUCUCUUGCUCAAUCAAAAGGCCCACAUCACAGCGGCCCUUGCAGGAGCUUCAACAGAAGAAGACUUGCUGAAGAAUCUCCAAACAGCUCUGCAAUUAUUGAAAGAAAAGGAGCCAAAGGAGCAGGCCUCAUCCUCAAAGGCCCCUCAGCAGAAAACUUCCUCACAAUCUUCUUUCGGGUCAGAUCUUGUCCCGGAAACACUGGAAUCAAGUGAAGAUGACCUCUGCUAAAGCUUUGUCGUCUUUUUUCAUUAUGUUUUGUAAUAAUUCAAUCUCAAUUAUUGUAUUCCACUGUAGCAACAGUAGAACUUUUUACUGUAGCAAAUAGUGCCCGUCAAAUAGUACCGUCUACCGGAACUAUUCAACCGGAACUAUUCAAACAGUGACCAAAUUUUUCUUUAAAUAGGCAUCUUCUGAGCUUUGUUAGGCAGAGUUUGGCAUAGCCUAGAUAGAGAGUUAUAGAGAGAGAAAACACUGAGAGUCCUUCUGUAAGUUCUCUUUCAGUUUUCCUUUCUUCAAUCUUUUCAGUUGUUCAGUUUUUAUAUUUCAGUUUUUGUAACCUAUGUUUAUGUAAUAUAUUUCCUCCAGUUUUAUUUUUUUGUUUAUGGAAGGCUGAGCCUCCUGUUUUAAUUCCUGUCUUUUAAUUUCUGCAAUUUAAAUUUCUGCUACUAGAAGCCCCUCCGUGGUGGCGUCCUACUUCUCUUCUUAAUCCUCAUCUCAUCCCCCUCCUUCUGUAUAUAUAUAUAUAUAUAUAUAUAUAUAUAUAUAUAUAUAUAUAUAUAUAUAUAUUUGGUAUUUCUAAAAACAAAUUAUUGAGUAUUGAAUUGUCUUUUAACCUUAACACUAACAAUUAUCUUUUUUGUUGAAGAAUCUUUUUCAUUUUCAGGCACCGGAGUUAAUUGCUAAGCGUUAUUGCUUUCUUACCAUGGGGAAAAAGUAUAGUGUAAAUUCAGGUUCCCUCUGACACGAUUGUCCUGCACGAUGCUGGGACAAGAGGUUCGACAACUGCUUAACAGUGAAACAAAACUUAACAACAGAAACAAUAACACACAGUAAUUGUUAACCCAGUUCAGUGAAAACUUUCACCUACGUCUGGAGGGUUUGCACCCAAAGAAAGGAAAUCCACUAUCUCAAGAUUCAGGAAUUACAGACACUCAUGAACACCUCAGUUCAUAGUUCACUUCCUAAUCUACCCAGUGUAUUUCUACUUAGAAUCUCAACCUAAGUAUGAGAGCCCCUCUCACUUCCUCUCAAUCACUGCCACAGUGAUUGGUAAACACAAUGAACAAUCAGAGUUUGAAUGUAAUCAAACAACACAGAACCCUUCUUUGCUUUAUAGAAUCAGUGAGCAAAGAGGAUUCACAAAUAACAAGAACGAAGCACAAUAACAAAUCCUAAAACACUCGAUCUCUCUCUAUCAGCUUCGGUCAUCUUCACGUUUUAGGUCUUCAUCCUUUUAUAGACUUCAGCAGCGGUAGCAUGGGCUUUAGGGUUGGCACGGGCUGAAGAAACAGAUAUCAGUAACAGCAAUUCAAAAACACAAUCUUGAUAGAUUCGGUUUCUUAUUGCACAAGUAACGAUAGAAACCAAUCUUUUAGCAAAGAUUGUUUCAACAAAUAACAACCCCACAAUUAAAACCCUUCUGGAUAGCUACUUGCUCCUCAAGUAACUCAAAAACAUAUCUUCAGUAAAUCUUCAGAGGGCCCACAAUAUAAACACAAGCUGAGGACUGAUGUCCUAGCCUCACGAGGUCAGAUGCCACGGCAUCUGCUUCGACAAUUAGUUGUUUUGACAAAAUGCAAGGCAACAUGUUCCAACAAUCUCCCCCUUUGUCAAAUUUUGUCUAAAACAACUCACAAUCAGAGAGGAUAAAAACAAGAGAAAUAACUCUCCCCCUUAGUCAGAGCUCCCCCUCAAACAGAUGCAUCUACACAACCAACUACCAUACUUCAGAAGGCAUAGUCGGAACAAACACAUUUUAACAUCGCAAACACACAACCAGAGGUACAAUCAACCUUAGCACAUGAUGUCUUCAAAAUGGGUCAGCUUGGACAUCAUCAUAUCAAAAAUACUACCAUCAGAAGCUGGCAGCACAUACCCAGAAGUACAGCUAACAGAAAUACUGCUCAUCAGAAGCACCGUCAGAAAUACAACUCAUCAGAAGUAACAUUUCAGAAAACAAACAUAGCCAUCGUCUUGAACUUGUCUUCAGACCAGAGCUAACACUAUCAGAACACACGUAGCACAGUAGAAACAGAAGCAACUUCACCUAACUUCUGAGAACAUGAACAUCUGAACCACAACAAACUUCUGAUCUGCGAACAUCUGAACAAAAACAACUUCUGAACCACUAACUUCUGAACAGAAACAUCUGAAAAAAAACUCUUCACUAACUUCUGAAACCUCAAAACAGCUGAAACAUAGAUCUUCACUUAAACAUCUGAUCAUAAAACACAUGCAUACUACUCCCCCUUUUUAGCACAAAUUUGCAAAGGGUGCACGAAUACAGCAGAAACAAAACACACUAGUCUUCAGAACUGGAGUCCUUUCCAGAUCCUUCUGCAUUUUCCUCUGCACACUCUUCAGAUCCUUCCUCCUCUUCAUUACUCACAUUCGGAGCAGCAGCACGUUGCUCACCAUCUUGACGUUCUUCUUCUUGUAGCUUGAGUAGCAACGCAUCAACUUUGAGCUUCCUGGCAGUGCUCACCCUGAUUGUCUCCUGCAAAGCCUUGGAAACUUCCAGUAAUUCAGCUAUGAUGGCCUUAGCGUCAGAUUCAGUCACAGGAGGAGCAGAUGUUCUGCUGGUUGGUAAGGCAAUGUCUAGAACAUGUGGCUCCAUAAACAAACGGUGAUCCAAAGUGAUUGGAACUCCACGAGACAUAGCCACAUCAUCUGCCCUCAGAAUCUGAGGAUGUUGCUUUAAGAUUAUCUCAGUAAGAAGUGAAGGAAAUGAAACAGGCAGCUUCACAGCACAAGUAUCAGCAUGCUUCAAUGUCUGCUCAAACACAAAAGUUCCAAAGUCAAAAGCCAUAGACUUGCCAAUCCUAUAGAUCAAUUUGGCAAGCGUUGCAGAAACACCAGAAGUAUGUUGAGUAGGAACCCAAUUCACAGCACCAAUCCGGUUAAGAAUAGCAUACUUCACACUCAGAUUUCCAGGAGACAACAACUUCUUGCUGGGCCACUUCUUCACAUGACCGGCAGUAAGCUCCUUGGCAACAUCAUCCAUGGACACUUCUUCAUCAACAAAUUCAAUAGCACUUCUUCCAUGUGCUUGAUUGAUCACAGCAGGUGAAAACAAUACACAUUCAGCCCGUACAUAGACUUUUCUGAACUCUGCACUAUCAGGAAGUCCCACAUCAACAGAGAGAUUCACCAGGAACUCUCUCACAAGCUUCUCAUAGCACCUUCCAACAUUCUGAAUAGUCUUCAUCAGACCUGCUUUCUCAAUAAGUGCAAUAACAUCUCUGCAUUCAAGAACAUCAGAACCAACAUCCCUUUCCUUGGCCAUUCUCCUCUUGCAAACAAACUUCCACUUCUGAACAUUCUCUUCUAAGUGGAAAGACACUCUAUCAAUAGGGACAGCAGGAACAUUCUGAGGAACACGCUUACCAGAAAACUUCUUUGUAUCAGAAGAUCGAAUGUCCUGAACACCGACUUCAACAUCUGACUCAGAGUCUUCAACUUCAACUGGAAUCUUCCUCUGCUUGUUCUCAGUGGGAGCCUUUGCGUCCUUUUGCUUCCCCUUACUCUUCACACUGACAUGUCUAGAUUUCUUUGAUGGAGUAGGUGUGAUUUCAGGAGAAGAAAUCCUUCUUUUCUUCUUCAUUCUCGCAGCAACACUAUCAGCAAAAGUCUCAGUCAGAGGAACAUCAUCAGAAGCAUCAUCAGAGAUGUUCUGAACAGAGGCUGGAUCAGCAUCCUUCGAAGAGGAUGAAACAGAGAUAUUAGGCGUGGUAGCAUCGCCUGAAUUUUCAUGAGAAGUGGAAUCCUUUCCAGGAGUUUCUUGAGCAGAACUUUCCUUAGACCCAGUUGCCUCAACAUCAGCCACAACAUCAGGCACAACUUCAGGAGGCGAUUUCACUGGAGAAUCUUCAUCAUUGAUUUCUUCUUCGUCAGGAACAUCCUCAAGGAUAGAAACAUUUGGGGCUUUGCUGUUCUUGACCUGUGAUUUGUAGACCUUACAUGUUGGGUUUCUUGAUCGCAUCUUCUUGGAGGCUUUCUUGGACACAAAAGACGGUUGAGAAGGAUCACUCUUCAAACCCAUACACUUGACUCCUUUAGCAGUUCCUUCAAUCUUGGCCUUGACAGAUUCCUUCUUUCCUGAACUUUGAGACAUGACGAAUCGAGAGGAAAUACAAACAAAGUUCAGAACAAUGAAACAAAUUUGCAAAUGAGAGAUGAUGAGUCUUGAAGAAGAUAGAUGCACAAGCGGUUGAGAGAACACAAUAUGCCCGUUGGAGGUAGUUAUAGGAUAUGUGAACCAUGAAGUAACUUUCUCUCUGCUGAUGUCACAACGGCUGUUAAUGAUGACCAAGAAUAAACUAGCCGUUGACACACUAGGGCACGCUAAUUGCUAUGCAUCAGAAAGACAAAUCCCUAUACUUCCUCUUAAUUUUUCAAAAGUGAUAGCAUCAAGGGGUUUUGUGAAAAUAUCAGCCAACUGCUUGUCAGUUGUCACAUGAUCCAAAUUAACAAUUUUCUCCUCCACCAAGUCUCUAAUAAAAUGAUGUCUAAUGUCAAUAUGCUUGGUCCUGCUAUGCUGUAUAGGAUUCCUUGAAAUAUUAAUUGCACUGAGAUUGUCACAGUACAAUGUCAUGACAUCCUGUUCAACAUCAUAUUCCUUCAGCAUUUGCUUCAUCCACAUGAGUUGAGUACAACUACUUCCUGCUGCAAUAUAUUCCGCUUCAGCUGUAGACAAUGAGACACAAUUCUGCUUCUUGCUAAACCAUGAAAUCAAAUUAUUCCCUAGGAAGAAACAACCACCAGAUGUGCUUUUUCGAUCAUCUGCACUACCUGCCCAAUCUGCAUCACAGAAACCAACUAACGAAGAAUUUGUAUCAUGAGUAUAGAGAAUACCAUAGUCACUCGUGCCAUUGAUGUACUUGAUAAUUCUCUUGACUUGUAGCAGAUGACUAGCCUUAGGAGCUGCUUGAUAUCUUGCACAUACACCAACUGCAAAGGUGAUAUCUGGUCUGCUAGCAGUGAGAUACAACAAGCUUCCAAUCAUGCUUCUAUAGAGACUUUGAUCUACAUCUUCCCCCUGUUCAUCCUUGGAGAGUUUGAUGUGUGUAGCAGCAGGAGUUCUCUUGUGACCAGCCUUUUCAAGCCCAAACUUCUUGACUAACCCUUUAGCAUACUUGCUCUGUGAUAUGAACAUAGAAUCCUCCAUUUGUGUGACUUGUAGUCCUAGAAAAUAAUUCAAUUCACCAACUAGGCUCAUCUCAAAUUCAGAUUUCAUUUGUCGGACAAAAUGCUCCACCAUUGAGUUCGACAUUCCUCCAAAGACAAUGUCAUCCACAUAAAUCUGUGCUAUCAUGAGCUUACCUUUGUCAUUCUUCACAAACAGAGUUUUAUCAAUUCCACCCUUGCUGUAACCAUUGCUUACAAGAAAGUCAGUUAACCUUUCAUACCAAGCCCUAGGUGCUUGCUUCAAACCAUACAAGGCCUUCCUCAACUUGUACACAUGAUCUGGAUGAUGCGGAUCUGUAAAUCCUUUAGGUUGUUCAACAUAGACUUCUUCAUUCAAAUAGCCAUUCAGAAAAGCACUCUUCACAUCCAUCUGAUAAAGUCUGAACUUCAAGAGACAAGCAACACCUAACAAGAGUCUUAUAGAUUCCAGUCUAGCUACUAGAGCAAAGGUCUCAUCAAAAUCAACUCCUUCAAUCUGAGUAUAUCCUUGAGCAACAAGCCUUGCUUUAUUCCUUGUGACUGUUCCAGUUUCAUCUGACUUGUUCUUGAAGAUCCACUUAGUGCCAAUGAUGUUUACUCCUUCAGGUCUAGGCACUAACUCCCACACUUCAUUUCUCCUGAACUGUUCUAGCUCCUCUUGCAUAACAUUUAUCCAGUAUUCAUCAGUGAGAGCUUCAUUGACAUUCUUGGGUUCUGUCUUAGAGAUGAAACAACUGUGAGCAAUCAUACUCCUGGAUCUGGUAGUCACCCCUUCUUGAAGAUUACCAAUAAUGUUUUCUUGAGGAUGAUUCUUCUGAACCCUAAUUGAUGGAGCUUUGGUUGAUGUGAUAUCUUUGUCUUCCUUUUCAUCAGCACUUGUUUCUGACUCGUUGUCGAGGGCGGUUGCUGGAGCAUCGGCUGGAACAUCUGCAUCAUCAUCAUCUUCAUUCAAAACUGCUUCUUCCUUCUUGCUUGGUUCAUCAUCCACAGUCACAUUCACAGAUUCCAUCAUGGUCCUUGUGCGAGAGUUAAAAACUCUAUAGGCUUUGCUGUUCAUAGAAUACCCCAUGAAAAUUCCUUCAUCACUUCUAGGAUCAAGCUUCCUCUUAGGAUCACGAUCUGCAAGGAUAUAACAUUUACUUCCAAAUAUGUGAAAGUAUUUUACAGACGGUUUUCUACCUUUCCAUAGCUCAUACUGUGUGGAGGAUGUCCCUGCCCUGAUGGUGACUCUAUUAUGUAUGUAACAGGCAGUACUCAUAGCUUCAGCCCAGAACUGGUGUGGAAUCUUCUUAGCAUGUAACAUUACUCUAGCUGAUUCCUGGAGAGUUCUAUUUUUCCUCUCAACUAUUCCAUUCUGCUGUGGAGUGAUAGGGGCAGAAAAUUCAUGGCUAAUACCUUCUGUUCCACAGAACUCCAAGAAUUUUGAAUUUUCAAACUCCCUUCCAUGAUCACUUCUGAUUCUCACAAUCACACAGUCCUUCUCAUUCUGAAGUCUCAUACAUAGAUUCUUGAAUAUUUCAAAAGUCUCUGAUUUUUCUCUCAUAAACUCAACCCAUGUAUACCUUGAAAAGUCAUCUACACAGACAAACACAUACCUUUUUCCUCCCAAGCUUUCAACCUGCAUGGGACCCAUGAGAUCCAUGUGAAGCAAUUCCAGAACCUUUGUCGUGGUCUGAUGCUGGAGCAUCUUGUGUGGCACCUUGGUUUGCUUACCAAUCUGACAUUCUCCACAUAGCUUUCCUUCUCCCAAGCUCAAAUUGGGCAAUCCCCUUAUUGCUUCAUCUGCAAGAAUCUUUUGCAUGCUCCUGUAGUUGAGAUGUCCUAGUCUUUGAUGCCAUACAUUCACCUCAUCUUCUUUAGUUAACAAACAUCUGGAAACAUGAGCUUUAUCUUCUGAUGUCCACAUAUAACAGUUGUCUUUUGAUCUGACUCCUCUCAUCACAACUCUCUCAUCAUCAGUGGUCACAACACAUUCUAUCUUAUUGAACUUCACAUCAUAUCCUUGAUCACACAGUUGACUUAUGCUGAUUAAGUUGGCUGUUAAACCAUUUACAAGUAACACAUUGUUCAAGUUAGGAGAUUCUGUGCUAACAAGAUUUCCUACUCCCUUGAUCUUUCCUUUAGCUCCAUCUCCAAAAGUAACAUAGUUGGUGGAGUGACUUCUGAUGUCUUGCAAGAAGCUCUUGUUUCCUGUCAUGUGCUUUGAACAACCACUAUCAAAAUACCAAUCUUCCUUUGAUGAUGCUCUGAAAGACGUGUAGGCUACCUGACAUCUGACUUCACCCUUGGGCUUCCAUUGCUUCCUCAUCUGAACAGGCUUUUUAUCGUGCAUCUGAGGAUAACCAUAUAACCUGUAACAGUAGGGCUUUAUAUGACCAUUCUUACCACAGUAGUGACACUUCCAAGGUACAGUUUUAUCAAGCUUAAGCCGGGGUUUCACAUGCAGAGGUACAUGUCUGGGCAAUGAAUCUGACAACUGAUAAUUUCUAGGCUUCUUGAAUUCAGUUUGUUUCGCAGCAGACACAAAUUUCUUUGAACCUUUCUGAUUUUCUUUGUUUGCAGUUCUAUAGUCAAAGCCAAUUCCCUUCAAACUCCCUCCUUGCUUGCUAGUUUCCUUCAGAAUUUCAUCAAGCAUAUCAGAACCACUGUUCAACAUUCUAACAGAUUUGUGAGUAGCUUCAAGCUUUCUUGUCAGAGUUGCCACUUCCUCUUGAAGUCCUGCAUUAAUCAACACUAGAUUAGCCUUUUCCAUAACAUCAGCAUUAUUAAACUUACUUUGCCAUUCCUCCAGAUCUUCCUUCAGCUUUGUGCUGAGCUCUUUCAGCCUUUCAUUCUGAGAGACAAGUUGUUCUAUCUCACUUUGCUUUUCUCUCACAAGUUUACAUGCUUCUUCCCACUUGAUGUGUAGCAGCUUGUAAGUCUCAGCCAGUUCCUCAUCUGUAAUGUCCUCAUCACUUGUAUCAGACUCAUAGACGGUUCCAGAGAAAGCAUUGACUUUGUUUGCAGAUAUCUCCUCCUCAUCUUCAGUGUCUUCAUCUGACCAAGUUACCAUCAUACCUUUCUUCUGCUUCUUUAGAUAAGUGGCGCAUUCAGAUCUGAUGUGACCAUAUCCUUCACAUUCAUGACACUGCACUCCUUUAUUCUGACCAGAUUUUUCUUCUUCUUUGGUCUUCCUCUGUGAAUUAGUAAAUUUGGGUUUGUUAUCGAACUUCAUGUCCUGGACAUUAGGCCUGGUUCUUUUAUCAAUCUUUCUCAAUGCUCUGUUGAAUUUUCUUGCUAGCAUGGCUAGAGCCUCAGUCAGAUUUUCACCCUCACAAUCUUCAUCAUCACCUUCAUCAGUGUUUGACACAAAAGCAAUACUCUUAUUCUUCUUCUCAGAUUUUCCACUCAGUUUCAACUCAAAUGUCUGCAAAGAGCCAAUAAGUUCAUCAACCUUCAUGUUCUCAAUGUCUUGAGCCUCCUCAAUUGUAGUGACUUUCAUAGCAAACUUAUGAGGAAGAGAUCUCAAGAUCUUCCUUACAAGCUUCUCAUCUGACAUAGGCUCUCCCAAAGCAAAUGAAGCAUUAGACAAGUCACGGACACGCAUGUGGAAUUCUGAAAUAGUCUCUUCUUCAGUCAUCAUAAAAUUUUCAAACUGAGUAGUAAGCAUCUGAAGCCUUGACAUCCUUACUCGAGUAGUUCCUUCAUGUGCAGUUUUCAGAAUUUCCCAAGCAUCCUUUGCCACAGUACACGUAUUGAUCAGCCUAAACAUAUUUUUGUCAACUCCAUUAAAGAUAGCAUUUAGAGCCUUUGAAUUUCCAAGAGCAGCUUCAUCUUCAACACUGGUCCAUUCUUCUUCAGGUUUUUCCACAACAGUAGUAGAGGUGCCUUCAACCUCAGCCUUAGUGGGGUGCUUCCAACCCUUGACAAUAGCUUUCCAAGUCUUAUUGUCAAUUGACUUGAGAAAGGCUGUCAUGCGAACCUUCCAAUAGUCAUAGUUAGUACCAUCCAGAAUGGGUGGCCUAUUAACUGAUCCUCCCUCCUUGUUAUCCAUGAGAACUUGAAUAAAAACUCCCUGGAGCUCACCCAACCAGAACAGGGUGCCUGCUCUGAUACCAAUUGUAAAUUCAGGUUCCCUCUGACACGAUUGUCCUGCACGAUGCUGGGACAAGAGGUUCGACAACUGCUUAACAGUGAAACAAAACUUAACAACAGAAACAAUAACACACAGUAAUUGUUAACCCAGUUCAGUGAAAACUUUCACCUACGUCUGGAGGGUUUGCACCCAAAGAAAGGAAAUCCACUAUCUCAAGAUUCAGGAAUUACAGACACUCAUGAACACCUCAGUUCAUAGUUCACUUCCUAAUCUACCCAGUGUAUUUCUACUUAGAAUCUCAACCUAAGUAUGAGAGCCCCUCUCACUUCCUCUCAAUCACUGCCACAGUGAUUGGUAAACACAAUGAACAAUCAGAGUUUGAAUGUAAUCAAACAACACAGAACCCUUCUUUGCUUUAUAGAAUCAGUGAGCAAAGAGGAUUCACAAAUAACAAGAACGAAGCACAAUAACAAAUCCUAAAACACUCGAUCUCUCUCUAUCAGCUUCGGUCAUCUUCACGUUUUAGGUCUUCAUCCUUUUAUAGACUUCAGCAGCGGUAGCAUGGGCUUUAGGGUUGGCACGGGCUGAAGAAACAGAUAUCAGUAACAGCAAUUCAAAAACACAAUCUUGAUAGAUUCGGUUUCUUAUUGCACAAGUAACGAUAGAAACCAAUCUUUUAGCAAAGAUUGUUUCAACAAAUAACAACCCCACAAUUAAAACCCUUCUGGAUAGCUACUUGCUCCUCAAGUAACUCAAAAACAUAUCUUCAGUAAAUCUUCAGAGGGCCCACAAUAUAAACACAAGCUGAGGACUGAUGUCCUAGCCUCACGAGGUCAGAUGCCACGGCAUCUGCUUCGACAAUUAGUUGUUUUGACAAAAUGCAAGGCAACAUGUUCCAACAUAUAGGAAUGGAAAGUUGAAAUUAUGGAAUUCUAAAGAUAACCCUUGUUAUUCUAGAGAACAACUUAUUGGUAAUGUCCCUAAAGGAGUUCCUAAAGAUCAAUGGUCAUCAUUUGUUGAUUAUCACUUGAAGCCAAAAUAUAAGGUAUAAUUUCCUAGUUGUUUGUUAUCUAUAAUUAUCUUUUUCAGAUUAUAUUUUAGUUAACGUGUUGUUCAUAUAAUAGGAGUUAUGUCAAAAGAAUGUGGAGGCGCGUAAAAAGCAAACAAUUCCACAUACCGGCGGAUCUAAACUUUUAUCAAGGAGACAACAUGAAAUGGUAUAUAACUCAUGUUAUGCCUUGUUAGGUCUUAAUAGAUUGAUCUAAUUAUUUUUAUUUGAUAUUUGGACUUAUAUGAGUCACACACAUAUGUAUAGGAAAUAGAGGUUGGACAUGCUAUAAGUCGAGGAGAAUUAUAUAUUGCAACUCACAAGAGAAAAGAUGGGUCUUAUGUCAAUGAGGAGGCAAGGUUUGUAGGGGUAAGUUACAAAAUUAAAUGUUUAUUCCCCUGCUACUGAAAUUGGAAUUUAAAACCAGAAUCUUGCUGUGCUUUUUUUUCAAGAAAUAGAAUCUUUGCGCUGCUGAUUUAGAAUAAGUUAAAGUUAAUGACAUGCUAUCAUUUUACCCAAAUGACAUGUAGGAGCAGGUUGAGCAAGAACUAAGUCAAACCAACAAUUUUGUAGAAGUUUCAAAAAAUGAUGCUCUUUCCAAAAUUUUGGGUCCAGAUAGAGCUGGAUGUGUGCGUGGAUUAGGCUUAGGUGCUCUUCAUAGUGUUGCAUUUGGAUCGACUAGUGGUAUAGCCUAUAAUAGCUCAGCUGAAGUAUCUCAAUUGAAAGAAGAACUUAAUUUUGUAAAGAGCAAGUUAGCAACUUCUGAAGAGAAUAUUUCAACAUUGCAAACUAUAAUGUUUGCAUUUAUGCAAAUGAAAGAAUUAAAUAUCUCAGCAAACUUGGGUGCUUUGUUCGCGACUUUUACUCAAAUGGUAAUGUUGCUUAUUGAUUUAACUAAGGUAAUAUGUUGCAGUUUUUAAUGAGUACAAAUGUUGAUUUGGUGUGGUUUUAAUUUUUAAGGACAAUGCCAAUGCUAAUGAUGAACCAGUUCAAACUGCUGAUCAUGCAAAGGGUUUUCACUAAUGUUAGUGAGGUUAGUCAUGUUUGCUACUCUACUUUGGAAAUUUAGUUUUGAAUGCUGAAUGUUUUCAUUUCUGUUUCUCCAUUGAAGUGAUUACUUGAUUGGGUAAUAAAUAAUAUGGUAAAGUCAUCCUUGAUUUGCCUUAAUAUUUUAUGUACAAGAUUACAGCCAUAUUGAUUAAGCUACAUAUCUAUGUCUAUCCCCCUGCUUGACUAAUCAGAAUUAGAUCCCAUUAUCUAGAAAUGUUUCUAGUCAUAUCUUAAACGAUGCUGUGACAUCCAAAGCUGCAUCUAAAUCAUAUUUUAUCAGUUUUCCUGAUUUUAGUUUCAGCUACUGAUUAGAAAUUUGACAAAUGUCUACCCUUUUCAUUGCAGGGUCAAUUGAUGACAAUAUAGAUAUAAUGAAGAAAUGUCUAAAAAUAAUCGAGUCUUUAAAUCCUUAUGUACUCAAAUUCAAAUGUUGGAACCAUAUAUUUCCUUUCAUGUUCAUGCCCAUUUGUGAGUUAGAUUGAACCUUGUGACAUCUUGAGGCAUACUCUGAAUUUAGUAAAGAUGUUGCAUAUUUGAGAUAUGUAAGUGAAUUGUAAUUUUUUUUUUGAGUGACUGAACCACCUUUGUAGAGUGGUCUUGCAAUUACUUGUAGCAUUAUCAUGCUCAUGCUCAUGCUUUUUAAAAUUCAUUAUGUUCUUUUUUAUCCUAUUCUCUCUUUGCUUAAUUUGGUGUUAGUUUAAUCCCUAAUCACCAACAUAUUAGAGAUUUUAAUAAUUCAUUUAAAUUGAUUCACAAAUAAAAAAAUAAAAAAUAAAAAAUUCACUUGGAUGGGUCAAAACCUGAAUUAUGCAUUUUGUGGCACUUAAAGGAUGCCAGUACUGUUUGAGCCUAAUUCAAUGGUUGGUGUAUUUCGUGGCAUUUAAAAGAUGCCAAUACCAGUUGUGGCAUACAAAACCGGCAUUUAAGCAAAAAAUGCCACAAAACAGUUGUGGCACCUGUAAUAGAGGCACUUAAAGGUGAAUGCCACUAAUAACACUUGUGGCAUUUAAUAAAUGCCACAACUUAACAAUAUCAAUGCCACUAAAAAUGCAUUUUUUUGUAGUGUUCCUACUGGCGCAACAUGAUGAAACUGUGCAUGUUUGAGCUCUUAAACAUGCCGAAAGUUCAAAGCUUUGCUCCUUUAAGGAGAGAUGAAGUAGGACUGUUUGUGGAAUCACUUAAGAAAUCAGCAGCCUCACGUGAGGUUGUGAAUGUCAGUGAGAAAAUUGGGGAUGUUGUAGAGAAUACUGUCCAUAGAAUGAUUUGGGGUAAAUUUGAUGAUAAAUUUAAUUUGGUGUAAAACAGCUUGCUCGUGACGUUUUUCUCCUCAUGGGAGUUCUUGAUCUGGGAGAUUAUAUACCUUGGGUUGGGGCCUUUGAUCUUCAGGUACUUCAACUACAACUACUACUAGAUGUUUGAAUCUACUUAUUUCCCUUCAUAAUCAUUUCUGAUACGCAAUAAACUUUUUUUCCUAGAAUCAAUUUUGCCUUUAAAUGUGAUUGAAGAACGAUUUGCAUACAUGUACUAUUGUUACUUUUGAUUGUUAAAAACCUUAAUUUAUGUGGCUAACCAAGGAGGACGAAUCAUCAGUUAGUCCCUAGUGGCAUCAUCAGUUAUGAGACUAUAUGACACACCAUGUUAUCUGCUGACGUGACAAUAUUGACAAUGAUAAAAAUCUCAAAUGUUAAUUACAAAAUGAUGAUUCGAACAUGAGAUCUUAUAGUGGUAGAUUUCUCGUGUUUGAAUCCUCACUUUGAAAGUUUUGGAAUUUUAAGUAGAAUGUUACUAUUAAAGACUAACUAAUUAUUUGUCAACCGGCUACAUGUCAUCGGUUAGCCACGUUUAUUUGCAAACACCAAUAAUACUUUGUUCACAUACCUUUUUCCAAUUUCACUUUAAUGAUAUAAGAAAAAAAGAUUGAGAAAUGAGUGAUAUAAUAAGUUUUUGUUUAUUAGUGAUAUAAUAAGUGAUGUGAAAAUAUAGAGGGAGAUAGAAAUAAGAAAAUGCUAUUGUACACGAUUAUAUUUUUUACGACAAGGCACGACUUAAUUCCCACCGUGUGAUCUUAAUCAGAUUGGGGUUUUUAUCAUCAGCCCACAAUCCUUGUUUUCCAUCAAAACGUGCAAACUACAAUCAUCUCCCGUCGUGCAUUGAAUUUGUCAUGUGAUAUAGAAAUUCUCUAGAAAUAAAUGAGUGAAAACGAGAUGAAGAAAAAAUGGAGUGUGAGUGAAUCAUUAAUCUCUAUUGCCUUUUUUUUUACAUUUAAAGACUUAUAUUAAAGAAAUUGAAAUGUCGGGAGUAAAACCAAAUAAGCAUUCCUAUUUUUAAAAACUCCUAUUUUUAAGACUUUGACCAUAUUUAAUCCUUAUUCUUAUCCUAAAAGAUUUUACAUUGUCCACUAAAUUUUACUCAAAUUUAAUCCAUAUCUCAGGGACUUGUACGAAGGUUCAAGAAAGCGCACAAGAAAUUUGACGAAGUGUUAGAGAUAAUCAUCAAAGAUCACGAGGCUUCUGCUCGCCUUACCGACCAGAAAAGCGUGCAAUCUAUUGACUUCAUUGACAUAUUGCUAUCACAUAUGCACCAAUCAAAGGAUAAACAUGCUAUUACCAAAACAAACAUCAAGGCUAUUUUGUUGGAUAUAAUUAUCGGAGCAGUUGACACAACUAUCAUGUCGGUUGAUUGGAAUAUGGCAGAACUAAUAAGGCACCCAAGGGUUAUGAAGAAACUUCAAGAUGAGUUAAAGAAUAUUGUAGUGGGUAUGGGGAGGAUGGUAGAAGAAGCUGACUUACCAAAGUUGCCAUACCUCGAUAUGGUGAUGAAAGAGACCUUUAGGUUACAUCCACCUACUCCACUCCUCCCACCUCGUGAGUGUACGGAAGAUUUUACAAUCAAUGGUUAUUUCAUUGCGAAAAAGUCACGAGUUUUAGUCAACUCUUGGACAUUAGGACGAGAUCCUAAGAUGUGGUCAGAUAAUUUUAAGGAUUUUUAUCCAGAAAGAUUUCAUAACACCGACAUAGAUUCUCAUGGGCACAAUUAUCAAUUUUCACCAUUUGGUUCCGGUCGUAGACGCUGUCCCGGGAUGCUAUUGGAUUUAACUACGGUUCCGUUUCUUCUAGCUCAGCUAGUGCAUUGCUUCAACUGGGAGCUUCCACCGGGCGUGUCUACUGAUGACAUGGACAUGACUGAGGAAUUUGGC
rnacentral:lncRNA from 1 species